AGUCCGCCAUUGCAAACACGAAGCUCUUCCAGAAACGCCCUCACAGACACCCCGGAAGUCACGUACCCACUCUGUAGGUGCCCCGGGGCACAGGCAAGCGGACGAGCCAGUUAUCCCUCAGAGCUCCUGCUGCCUCGCCCGCUUUCUCUCGGAAACGUGAAGUGUGGCCUCAGCUGAAAGUGAGGUGGGCCUCAUUCAAUCAGUUGAAUUCUUCAAGAGAGAAAAACUGAAGUCCCUUAGAAGGAAAGAGUUCUGCCUUCAGACUGUCUUUGAACUUAAGACUGUAGCGUCGACUCCUGCCGGAAUUUCCAGCCUGCUGGCCAGCUCUGCAGAUUCACACUUGCCAGCCUCCACAAUCGCAGCUGAGGCGGAGGAACCCUAAGGGCUCAUUGAGAUCAUGGAUUUGCCCUUCUAUGCAUUGAUGGAGCACCUGCUGCCCACAGCGUCUGUAUUUGGUGCUGGGAUGCUGAGGACACUGAGAUCUUCAAACAGAGGCUGCCACUCUAAGCAAACAGAUCCCGAGCCCUGGACUCUGAAGCUUGGGCCCAGUUCUCCUUUUCUCCGGGUUUCAGAUCCCACUGUGAAGUGAGGGGGCCCUUCUGAUUCAGGACCCGGGGAAGCCAGGGGCAUGAGCAUCGGUGCCUCUUCUCUAUUUCAAGGACCCUUCUGGGUGUAAAGUUCUCUGAGAUGCCUUACAUGGAUUCCCACCACUGCAAGAUAACCAUCGUAUGUAAAGUGUUAUGACCAGCAGAGCGUAAUUGAAGUGCAUUCCAGAGGGAAAGACAGCGGCUCAGGGACAUGACCCUAUGCCAGCCCACACCACAGUCUUGGUCAUCACUCCUGUUUCCAUGGUGUUAACAGCAGCAGUUACUUGGUUACGGAGAGCUUUUCCUUACGCCAGCACCCUAUCCAUAUCGCUUGGACAGUACGUACACAAUGGUGAUGUUAUUGCUCGUCAUGUAUUACUAGUAAGAGCUUUGUCCCAGCAAGGAAGCCACCCAUGCAUCCACCAAACAUGAGAAACUCAAUCCCCAAAUCUCGUUUUGAAGUUCUGGUUCCUAGUCCAUUCCUAGUAGCCACAAUGAGAUCAGUCAGGGUCUUAGGAGGAAAAAACAUUCACACAGAUGUUUUAAAUGAAGGGACCUUAAUGACUAAACUACUAACAGACCUGUUGGCAUAUUAAGGAAAGAAAUGAGAGAGAUGGGGAAACUAAGGACUGGUAACAGCUGGAAGGCUUUGCCACCCUAAGAAUCAAACAGGGAAGGGAAAGAUGCAGCGUUACCAGGUCCUGUGUGAGCUGGCAUGAAGCCCGGGAGGUACCACCAUGGAGGCAUGGGGCUUCCUGAGAAGUGGUGAGGAAGAAUGGAUGGAGCAGGGAAGCAAGACCCCUUCCACCCACCGGCCCCCUGCUGCUGACCUCUUGGCCAAAUGGGACAGAAGCCAGCUUGCAGGGGCUGCUAUUCCGCCUGUGGGUAUCAGGGCAGAAAGUGGGCAGUUUCAGGGCAGGUGGGGUCAGUCAACAAUUCAGUUCAUCUUUUUCAGUUUUCUUUCUGGAUGAUUUUCAGAUGCUGUCUUGUGGUGUUGGGACUGCAGUUUCAUGAAAAUAUGUCUAGGUGUAGAGUUUGUUUUAUUCUGCUUAGAUAUAGAGUGCUUCCUAUGUUGGUGGAUCCAUCUUUUUUGACAUUAUGGAAAUUGUCUCUUUAAGUGUGUCUACUGCUGUAUUCUUUUUUUUUUUUGUAGGAAAGCAAAUAUAUGCGACUUUUUCAUUCUGUUAUCUAGAGGCAGUUUUGAAUGGUGAUUAAAAGCAUGAUUUCUGAAGAAGACUGCCUGGGUUUAAAUCUUAUUCCCCAAAGUUCCUAGCUGUGUGACCUUAGGCAAGUUACUUAAAAUCUCCGUCCCUCUGUAAUCUCACCAUGUAAAUGAGGGUGACAUUAGCACGGUGCAGGUUUGACGUGAGGAUUGAAUGGAUGAAUGUCAGGAAAGAUCCAGGACAUAAUGGAAAAACUUAUGUCUUACCUAUUGUUGUUAUUGCUUGAUAUUAAUGUUGUCUUCUUUAUUAUAGUAAGAAUGCAACAUAAGGCAGGGUGCGGUGGUUCACGCCUGUAAUUCCAGCACUUUGGGAGGCCAAGGUGGGCGGAUCAUCUGAGGUUGGGAGUUUGAGACCAGCCUGACCAACAUGCAGAAAACUCGUCUCUAUUAAAAAUACAAAAUUAGCUGGGCGUGGUGGCGCAUGCCUGUAAUCCCAGCUGCUUGGGAGGCUGAGGCAGGAGAAUCGCUUGAACCCAGGAGGCAGAGGUUGCAGUGAGCUGAGAUCACGCCAUUGCACUCUAGCCUGGGCAACAGAGCAAGACUCCUUCUCAAAAAAAUAAAAAUAAAAUAAAAAAAUUAGCUGGGCGUGGUGGUGGGCACUUGUAAUUCCAGCUGCUUGGGAGGCUGAGGCAGGAGAAUAGCUUGAACCUGGGAGGCGGAGGUUGCAGUGAGCCGAGAUCAUGCCAUUGCACUCCAGCCUGGGAGACAGAGCAAGACUCCGUCUCAAACAAACAAACAAACGAACAAAUAAACAAACAAAAAAACACAAUGUGAGAGCUACCUUCAACAUAUUUUUUAGGGCUCAAUACUGUAUUGUGAACUAUAGGCACAAAGUGUUGUACAAUAAGAGCUCUGGGGCUUGUUCAUCCUAUAGAACAGAAGCUUUACACUUGUUGAACAGCAACUCCCAUCUCCUCCUUCCAGCCCUUGGCAACCACGUUCUACUCCUCGUUUCUACGAGUUUGGCUAUUUUAAUACCUCAUCUAAGUGGAAUUGUGCUGCAUUUGUCCUUCUGUGACCGGCUCACCUCACGUAGCGUGCUGUUCUCCAGGUUCAUCCAUGUUAUCCUGUUCAGCAGGAUUUCCUUCUCUUCUGAAGCUGAAUCAUAAUCCAUCGCUAACGUUAUCUUGUAACUCUUCUAUUAAACUCUCUAUCUCCUUAUCUCUCGAAGCUGCAUUGAGUUAUUUCUUCAGAUACAUCUUCUAGGUUCAUAUUUAUUUUUCCUUUUUUAAAAGCAAUUUCUAAUUUGUUUUAACCAUAUGCAUUAACUUUUUAACUUAAACAUUGUUUUUUAUGUAUAAAGGUUAUUUUUAGAAAAUGUUUGUUAAUUUUGUUUAUAAACUUAAAUUUAGUAAAUUGCUGGCUGGGCACAGUGGCUCAUGCCUGGCAUCCCAGCACUUUGGGAGGCCAGGGCAGGCAGAUCACUUGAGGCCAGGAGUUUGAGACCAGUCUGACCAACAUGGUGAAACCCCUUCUCUACUGAAAAUACAAAAAUUAGCUGGGUGUGGUGGUGGGCACCUGUAAUCCUAGCUCAGGAGGCUGAGGCAGGAGGAUCACUUCAACCUGGGAGGUGGAGGUUGCAGUGAGCCAAGAUCGUGCCAUUGUACUCCAGCCUGGGUGACAGAGCAAGACUCUGUCUCAGAAAAAAAAAAAAAAGAAACAGAAUAUUGCUGACACCGUAAAAGCCUCCUAACUGCCCUCCUUGUCAAUAAUCCCCUGAGAAUAAAAAGAGAUGAGUCUCCAACUUCAGGAAAGGAAAUAGAAGGCUGGCAUUCUUUGGCCCUAAUUACAAGCUGUAAACUAGUAAACAAAGACCUAGUUUAAAGUGGCCCCAAUAAACUAGCAACACUCUAGGUACAAAAGUCCACCAAUCCCUAAACUCCACACUUUCCUAAAAUACUUAAGUGAUAGGAGCUUUCUGUUUUGCUUGAUAAAGCUGUUUUUUGGAAUCUGGCUUCCAACAUCAGCAUGCACCUGCGAUCAUAUCUGCGAUUCAUGCGCGUUGUAUCAGGGUUCUCCAGAGAGACGGCACCUAUAGGAUAGAUAGUUAGAUAUAUAGAUGAUUGAUAGGUAAAUAGAUAGAUAGAUAGAUAGAUAGAUAGGGAGAGAGUUAUUAGGGGAAUAGGCUCACAUGAUUAUAGUGGCUGAGAAAUCCCAUGAAAGGCCAUCUGCAAUUUGGAGAAGCAAAGAAGCUGGGAGUGUGGCUCAGUCCAAGUGCAAAAACUUCAGAACCAGCAAAGCCAGUGGUGUAACUCUCAGUCCAAGGAUGAAGGUCUGAGGACCCAGAGGACUGCUCUUGCAAAUUGUGGAGUCCAAAGGCCAGAGAACCUGGAGUUCUAAUGCCCAAGGGCAGGAGAGCCAGUGUGCCCCAUCUCCAGGAGAGAGGGAGCAAGUAAGCAAACUCUUUCUUCCUCUGCCUUUUUGUCCUGUUCAGGCCCUCAGCCAGUUUAAUCGUGCUUGCCACACUGGGUGACAGAGGAUGUUCCUUACUCAGUCCACAGAUUCAGAUGCCAGUCUCUUCCAGAAACACCUUCACUGACACACCGAGAGCUGAUGCUUUACCACUAUCUGGGCACCCCUUAGUUCAGUCAAGUUGAUCCCUAAAAUUACCCAUCACCCAUGUUGAUGCUAUAAUGGGAGUUCAUUGCUAUAGUAGGAAUAGUGCAAGGAUUCAGCACGAUUCAUGAACCCAUUACACUGUUGAUGAUAGGCAUUUUGGUGCUUGCUAGUUUUGGACUAUGACAUCUAAAGCUUCCGGGAACACGCUUAUGCAUGUCUUGUGGAUAGUAUAUGUAAAUAUUUGGGCAUGUAUCUAGGAACAAAAUUGGUAGGUACAAAGUUAUGGGCAUGUUGAGACAUAUCACAUAUUGCUACAUGGUUUUCCUAAGGAAUUGCUCAAACAUCAAUUUACAUCAUUAAGUAUCAGAGUUCAAUCACUCCAUAUCAUUCCAAUGUUGGGUACUAUUGCUUUUUUUUUUUUUUUUUUAAUUUAAGCCAGUUUAGUGGAAGCAGAGUGGCAUCUCCUUCUGGUUUAAUUUGCAUUUUCCUGGAGACAACUUUUUUCCUUUUAGCCAUUCGGGGAUCCUCUGUUGAGAAGGGCCUAUUCAAGUCUUUUGUUCGUUUUUCUCCGGGUGGGGUCUCUCUUUCUCAUUAUUUUGUAGAAUUCCUGUUACAUUUUAGUUAUCUUUUAAAAUAUAUUCAAAUAUACUUAAUAUAUUUGAAUUAGUACAUUAUCAAUCAAUUAUUAAUUAAAAUAAGUUAAAUAUAUUUAAUUAAAUAUAUUAAAAUAUAUUCUCUCAUAAUAUGGCAUGGAUUUUUGUUUUUAAUUUUAUUAAGCCCUUCUUUUCAAAUGGUGUAAUUCACAGAUAUUGAAUAUAUGCUUUGUUCUUUAAGUUUUGACAAACACAUGUACCAGCAUGGCCUGUACCUCUAUCAAGAUACAAAGCAAUCCCAUCACACUGAAGGUUAUGUUUUAGCCCUGUCCUGUCACUGCCUGCACUGCCCCUACUGAGGCCAUUACUGCCUGGAUUUCUAGCAGCAUAGAUGAGUUUUUCCUGCUCUAGAAAUUCAUAUGAACAGACUCUUACAAUAGAUAUAAUUUUGUGAGUGGCUUCUUUCCCUCUGCGUGCUUUUGAGCUCCAUCGUGCUGUCCAAUAUAUUAGUAGUGUUAUGCUUCUUGUUGCUGUGUGACUUUCCAUUAUAUGGAAAUACCGCAAUUUGUUCAUCCAUUGUCUUGUUGAUGGAUAUCUGUGUGGCUUCCAGUUUUGGACUACAGUGUUUAAAGCUACCAGUAACAUUCAUGUAAAAGAUGUUUUAUAGAAAUAUAUUUUCAUUACCUCUCUAAAUAAAACCAGUCAGUAGCUAGGUGGCUAUAUGUUUAACUAUUUUAAAAAGUUUGCAAGCCACUUUACAAAGGGGUAGUUCUAUUGUGUAUUCUCACUAGAAAUAUAUGAGCAAUAUUUUUGUUUGAAAUCUUUGCAAAUAUUUGUUGUUGUCAGUAUUUUUCAUUUGAGCCAGAAUUUUUAUUAAGAGAUAGAAUCUUGCUACAUUGCCCAGGCUGAAGUGGAGUGGCUCUUCAGAGGUUCGAUCAUAGUGCACUAUGGUCUCAAACUCAUGGGCUCAAGCGAUCAAUCCACCUGCCUUAACCUCCUAAGUAGCUGGGACUACAGGUGCACAUCAGUGUGCCUGGCUUAAUUUUAGCCAUUCUUAUGGGUGUGAAGUGGUUCCCACUUGGUAUUAAAUUGCAGUAUAUAUAUAUAUAUAUACACACACACACACACACAUAUAUAUAUAAAUAUAUAUAAUGUGUAAAUUAUAUAUUUAUACACAAUACAAAUAUAUAUAUUUGUGUAUUCUUUUUUAGAUACAUGUAUCACAGAUAUUUUCUCCUACUCUAUUGUUUCAUUUCUAAAUUUUAGUAGUAUUUUUAAGAAGCAGAGUUUUUUACUUGAUGAAAUCUUUAAGAAAGUUUAAAGUUAUUGCUGUUUAUCUUCUCUAGAAAAUCAUUGCCUAUCCAAGAUCUAGAAAAUUUAUACAUUUAGCUUUUCUCAAUUUCUACAAAACCUUUAAGGUUUGAUUAAGAUUGCAUUGAAUCUAUUCAUUAAUUUGGGGGAUACCGACAUAUAUGAAUAUUUAAUUUCCUAAUCCAUGAAGAACAUGUAUGGUUCUUCAUCAUUACACCUUUUGAAAUUAAUCUCAAUAAUGUUUUAUAGUUUUCAGUAUAGUGAUUUUGCAGAUAUUUCUGGUUUAUUUAUUUCUAGAUAUAUUUUAUGCUAUUAAAAUGUAAAUAUUUUAUGUCAUUUUCCAUUUUCUUGCUGCUGCUCUAAGGAUAUGUAAUUGACUUUUGCAUAUUGGCCUUGUUUUCUGCAUCCUUGCUGAAAUAACUUAUCAGUGUUAUAUUUUUGUUCUGAUAGAUUUCUUGCUUUUCACAUAACAAUUAUGUCUGAAAAUGAAGAACGUUUUGGUUUUCCUUUCAAAUAAUUAAGAGUUUAUUUCUUAUCCUUGCCUUAUUAUACUGGAUAGAACCUUCUGCACACUAUUCAAUGUAAUGGUAAGAGUAGAGUAGACAUCCCUGCUUUGUUGCAAACGUCAGGAAAAAAGUGUGCAAUAUUUAACCAUUAAGUAUGAUGUUAGCUCUAGGUAAUGUUUGUAGAUACUCAUUAACAGAUUGAGUCACUUUCCUGCAAGUAGUGGUUGGCUGAGAGUUUUCAAUAUGAAUGGAUAUUGAAUUUGGCCAAAUACUUUAUCUACAUCUAUUGAGAUUAUCAUAAAAUGUUCUUUGUUCUUUUAAUGUUAAUCAAUUAAUGUCUUAAUGUUAAGCCAACCUUGCAUUCCUGUGAUAAGCCUCACUUGCUUAUAGUAUAUUUCAUAUUUAUAUAUUGCUAGGUUCACUUUGCUAAUAAUUUAUUAAGGAUGAUUGUUUUAUUUAUGUUUCUGAAGAACAUUGUUUCUGAAGAAUAAUUUUCUGCUUUUGUUUUGUAAUGUCUGUCAACUUUACUAAGUCAUAUUUUCCAAGGUAUUUGUCUCUUUGAUUUCAGUUGUCAUUGGUGUAAAGUGUUGGCCAUAAAUUGUUUAUAACAUUUUAAUAUCUGUAGGACAUGUAGCAACAUCUAUUUUUUUAUUCUUUACAUUGAUAUAAUUUGUGUUUUCUUUUUUAUUGAUCAGUCUUGCUAGAUGUUUUAAAAUUUUAGCUUCUUAAGGCAUCAUUUAGAUAAUAAAAUUUAAAAUCUUUCUUGUUUUUAAUAUGAACAUUUAAAACUCUAAAUUUUCCAAAGGCACUGUAUUUGUCUGCAUUUUGCGAACUUUUGAUUUGUUGCAUUUUCAUUAUGACUAAGUUUUAAAAUAUUUUCUAAUGGCCCUUGUAACUUCUUUUUCACUCACGUUUUAUUUAGAUGUUCAGAGAAUAGAAGAUCAGUAUAUGAAAAUCAAUCAUAUUUUUACUGACAGCAACAAAUAAUCAAAAAAUGAAAUUAACCAAAAAAUUUCAUUCACAAUAACACCAAAGGAAACAGUUAAAAAUAAAUUUAACCAAAUGAUAUAUAACUUGUACAAUGAAAUGUAUAACACAUUGCUGAAAGAAAUAAAAUACCUAAAUAAAUUGAGAGCUAUUUCAUGUCUAUGGAUCUGAAGAUUCAAUAUUGUCACAAUGAAAGUUCUCCUCAAAUCCAUUCAUAAAUUUCACAGAAUUCCUCCCAAAUCCCAAGUCAGGUUUUUGUGUAGAAAUGGACAAGCAGAUCCUAAAAUAUACAUAGGAAUAGAACAAAAAGAGAGACGAGGGUAUACAUGACUAUAUUUCAAAACAGUAUAAAGCUACAACGAUUGAGACGAUGUGGUUUUGCUUUAAAGAAAGGUAUACAGGUAAUGGAACAAAAUUUAGGGUCAAGCAAUCUAGCCUUACAUUUGUGAUCAACUGAUUUUUGACAAAGAUGUCAAGGUGAUUCAAUGGAAGAAAGAAUAGUCUUUUCAACAGAUUGUGCUGGGACAAUUGGAUAUGCACAUGCCUAAAAUAAAUUAACGUAGACCCUCAUCUCAGCCCAUACAGAAAUUAACUUAAAAUGCAUUAUAGUCUAAACUGUGUAACCUAUAGCUAAAAAUCAUCUAGGAAAAACACAGGUGUAAUACCUUGUAACCUUGAGUUGGGCAAAGAGUUCUUUGAUAUGACAGCAAAGGCAUGAUCCAUAGAAGAAGAAGAAAAGGUAAAUUGGACUUCAUCAAAUUAAAGACUUUGGCACUUUGAAAGCCUGUUGAGAAAAUAAAAAUACCAGCCACAGACUGUGAAAAAAUAUUUGCAAAUCAUAUAUCUGUUAAAGGAGUUGUGUCUGGAACUCCUACAACUCAGUAAUAAGAAGAUUAAUAACCCAAUUACACAGUGGACAAAAGCUUUAACUAGAUACUCACCAAGGAAGAUACGCAUACGGCCAAAAGCACAUGGAAACAUGUUCAACAUCAUUAGUCAUUAGGAGAAUGCAAGUUAAAAUCGAAAUGAGAUGCUACUUCCUGCCUAUUGAAGGUCAUGAAGGCUGACAGUACCAAGGGCGGCUGAGGAUGUGAGAAGCUCGGCUCCUCCUAGACCGUCCACGGGAAAACAACACAGGAUGCCCACUUUGGAAAGGAGCUAGGCACUUCUUUAAAAAGUUCAAUAUACAUCCCAGCAAUUCCACUCCUCAGAAGCUACCCAAGAGAAGUGAAAACAUAUGUCCAUGCAAAAAUAUGUACACACAUGAUGAAGCAGCAUUAUUUAUAAGAACCCCUAAGAGGAAACACUUUAAAUGUCCAUCAGCUGGUGAAUGUAUAAAUAAAAUGUAUCCAUGCAAAGGAAUAUUAUUCAAUGAUUAAAGGAACAAACUGCUGAUAUGUGCUCCAAGAUGGAUGAAUCGCAGAAACAUUAUUCCAAGUGAAGGAAGCUAGACACAACAGAUUAUCUAUUGCAUAACUCCUUUUAUAUGAAACAUCCAGAAUAAGCAAAUGUAUGGAGACAGAAAGCAGAUGGCUGUUUGCCAAAGGCAGGUGGUGGGAGUGGGGAUUAACAAUGAAUAGCCAUGAGGAAAAUUUGAGGGCUUUAAUGAGUGUUUUAAUGUGGGUUGCGUUAAUGUUUGCACAAUUCUAUAAAUUAACAAAAAGAGGAAUGCAUUGUUACAUUUGCAAAAACUUGGGGAUUUUUAGGAAAGAUUUUUGUUGCUAUUGAAUUGUAAUUUAAUUGUCUUACAGUCAGAUAACAUACAAUAUAGGAUUUUUAUGUUAUAAAAUUUAUCGAGACAUUUUCCAGCCUACCCAAUGACCUUUGCUGGUGGCGAUUUCAUGCACACCUGAAAAGAGUAUGUAUUGUGCCUGGCAGUGUUUUCUAUAAAUGCCAAUCAGAUAAACUCUGUGGAUAGUGCUCUUCAAAGUUUCUAUAUCCUUACUGUGUUUUGAAAAUGUAUUUUAAUUUGUUUUUGUUAUGUGUUCUAUCAGUGACUGAGAGAUGGGCUUCAAAAUUUCCAAUCCCAAGUGUGGGUUUUUCUAUUUGCUUCUGUCAGUUUGGGCUUCUUGUAUUUUUUGGGACUGUUAUUAACAGCACUCAUGUAUUAAUGUUAUCUCUUUGUGGCACACUACCUAUUUUACCAUGAUUACACUCCCUUUUUAAUCUCUAAUUAUAAUCCUGGUCUUGGAUUGUACAUUGUCUUACAUUAUUAUGACUAUACCAGAAGUCUAAUGUUUGUUGUUUUCGUGAUAUAUGUUUCCCCACUAUUUUACUUUCAAAUUAUCUGUCUUUAUGCUUACAAUGUUUCUCUUGUAAAUAGCACAUAGUUGAAUCUUGCUUUUUAUGCAUUCUGAUAUUCUGUCUUUCAAUUAUUGUAUUUUAUUUAUAUUUCAUGUAAUUAUUGAUAUAUAAUUUAUCAAGCAUAUUCUUUUUGCGAUUUGUUCAAUCUGGUUUUUGUUUCUUUAUUUUUUUUCCUGUCUUCCUCAAUCAAAUAUAUUUUAGAAUUUUAUUUUAUUUUCUCUAUUGACAUUUUAGUUUGACUUUUGUGUUUGCAUGUGUUUAAGUGCCUGGGGGUUCCAAUAUGCAUCCUUAAUUUAUCACAGUCUCUGAGAGUGAGUAUUAAACUAUUUCACUAUUUGUUAUAAAACUGAAGAAUGGGACAGUAUAUUCUUCUGUUGAAGUCUCUUCCUGUCCUCGGCCACACGCUUUCCGUCUGCACACACAGCACAAUAUACUUCCAAGGCUACUUCUUUCAACGCUCACUCACCUGAUGCUCCGUAAUUCUGUCUGUACAUCUGAGUGUUCCUCCCAUAUUCCUUCUUCAGUUUAAAGAAUUUUCUUACAGCAUUAUUUCAGUUUUGGUUCAUUGGUGACUAAUUGUUUCACCUUUCUUUUAUUAAAUAUAAUCUUUAUUUCACAUACGUUGAAGUAUGUUUUCCUGGUUAUAUAAUUCUAACUUAAGACUUCCUCUUAUUUUCCCCUCAGCAUUUCAGUUUUUUAUUUUUGUUUAUUUAUUUAUUUUGAAACGGAGUCUUGCUCUGUCGCCCAGGCUGGAGGGCAGUGGCACGAUCUUGGCUCGCUGCAAUCUCCGCCUCCCGGGUUUAAGCCAUUCUCCUGCCUCAGCCUCCUGAGUAGCUGGGACUACAGGCAUGUGCCACCAUGCCUGGCUAAUUUUUGUCUUUUUAGUAGAGAUGGGGUUUCACCAAGUUGGCCAGGCUGGUCUCGAAUGCCUGACCUCGUGAUCCUCCUGCCUCAGCCUCCCAAAGUGCUGGGUUUAUAGGCAUGAGCCACCAUGCCCAGCCCUCUACCAGCAUUUUAAAAACACUGCCAAUCUUCACCUGCUCUCCAGCAUUUCUCAUGAGAGGUCAUAGUGUGAUUCCUUUCUAUGUGACCAAUCUACUGUUUUUUCUCCAGUUACUUUGAAGAUUUUCUCUUUCUCUUAAACUUUGAUUUUUUAUCCACGUUUGUGAUGUACGUAAAUAGAGUUCUCUCUGAAUUUAUCCUUUGUGGGAUUCGUUGAUCUUCUUGAAUUUAAUUUCCAUUAAAUUCAGAAAAAAUCUGGUGAUUUUUUUUUCAGAUAUUUGUUUGUACUCCAUUUUCUCUUUUCUGUCCUCAUGAGACUUCAAAUAUAUGAAUGAUCACUUCAUAUUAUAUCAUGGGUUUCUCAGGCUCUGUUCACUAUUUUUAUAAUCUUUAUCAUUGUUAUUCUUCAAGUUAGAUAAUUUCUGUUGAUUUGCCUUCAAAUUCGCACUUCCUUCUGCAAUAUACUAUCUCUCUCUCUUAAUCCCUUCUAUUAAGUUUUUUAAAAAAGUGAUUUUCAGUUAUAGAAUUUCCUGGUUACUUUUACAGGAUCUGUUUCUCUGCCGAGAUCACUGUUCACUCAUCAUGACCAUUUCUCACAUUAAAUCCCUGCGCCUAUUGAAAAUAGCCACGCCGGAGCCUAUGUAGACGGUUGCUGUCUUCAUAUCUAAAUUCCUCAGCAUUAGUUCCUCUUGAUGGCUUUUUCUUUGCCGAAGGGUAAUUCUUGUCAUGACUAAGACUAUUUUUAUUGUACUGUGGACACUGCGGUGACAUAUUUUAGGAGGAGGAGAUUGUGCCCUUUCAAGAAGUUUCCGUGUUUUGUUUUUGUUUUUCUAGAAGGCAGAUCAGUUGUAGGUAUUAAGCUUUCUUUGAUUUUGUUACAGUAAUUAAACUUCGGCAUGGUCCUUCAUCCCAGCGUGUGGUUCUCACGCUAAGGUGUGGUCCUUACUGUUUGAGCUAAAGUCUCUCUGGGUUCUCAGCUGAAUGCCCGAGAUGUUCAAGUGAGGUUUCUACACUGGCUGCGGCAGGCCCUGAGCUUUCCAGCAGUCGGGCCCUGAAAUCUCAGGUUCCCUCCCAGCCCCAGCAGCAGCUGUCUCUGAGUCCUGCACAUCUCACUCCAGGCGUGUGCCGCCCAGCCUUGCUCUCUGCUGUCUUCCGCAUUUAGGCUCUGCUCUGCCUGGGCACCUCUCCCCAGACCUCGGGCAGAAAGCUGGGUCCACAGCCGACUCCAGGCUCCCACUGGCUUUUCUCCAGAAUCAUGGUUCUGCUGUGCCUUCAGUCCCGGGUCUGGAACCUGGUUCGUAGUUACAGGGUGAAAGGGCAACUCCUUCACCAGUUACUCUAGGAUGGCCAGGAGCAAAAGUGUGUGUAUUGAUUCCUAACUUCCUCGCUGGUACCUUUUGAAGGAAAGAAGCUGAGCUUUUAGAAAUGUAGUUGGGUUAAUCUUUUUUCGUUUAUGUAGAAGCCCUCGUUUGCCAUCCCCAACAUCUAAAUGCCUCAGCGUCAGUUUCUCCUGAUAGCUUUUUCUAUUGCUCAAGGGUCAUAUUUUCCUGUUUCUUAGCAUAGUUAAUUAUACUUUUUUUUUUUUUUUGCUAGUAAUAUUUUCAUUCUACUCUGGACAUUGUGAUGAUACGUUCUAGGAAGAGUUAUCAUAUUUUUGUCCCAUUUAAACAAUAUGCUUGUCUGAAAUUCAGAAAGACAUGGUCUUAUGUUUUUUUCUAGAAGCCUUUUUAAAAAUUUUAAACUUCAGAAGUCUGUGAUGCAUCUGAAAAUAUUUGUUGGACAGGAGAGGGGUCAGGUUCAUUGCUGUUUCCCACUGCCCCCCCACCCCCUCUAGAUCUCCAGCUGGUCCAGCAUGACUGGAAAGUCCAUCUUUCCUCCACGGAAUUGAGGUGGUAUCAUCGUUGUAAUUCAGACAGGUGCAUAGAUCUAUUUCUGGACUUACUCUUCUGCUCAUUUGUUCUACUUCUCUAAACUUGCUCUAGAGUCUUGUAACUGUGGCUUUAUAACAUACCUUGAUCAGCUACUGUAAGAUUUUCGUUUUGUUCAUUUUCUUUGAGGUUUCCUUGGCUAUAUAUAUAUAUACUUUUGUGUUUUCACAUAUACUUUAGAAGAAUUGCAUCAGUUUCCAUGGAAAAAUCUGUAGGGGUUUUUUGGGGGAAUUGCAUCGACUAUAUACCUCAGUUUAGGGAGAAGUGACAUUGUAUAAUGAAUCUCCCAGUAGGUGAGUAUAGAUAGCUUUCCAUUCCUAUAGAUCGUCUUUAAUUUUUCUAAGUAACAUUGUAUCAGUUUCAUACUGAGGUCUUCCACAACUUCCUCUAGGUUCAUUUCUACUUAUUUGAUUUGUGAUGCUAUUUUAGUUAGUAUCUUUUUAAAAGUUUAUUUUCUAUUUCAUUGUAGCAGGCAUACAGAAAUGCACUACUUUUUGUUGCUGUUAUUUUUAUACAACAGCAGUACAGGACUUCACCAAAUUCAUGUGUUAUUGCUAAUGUUUUGUCAGUAGAUACUUUGGACUUUUUAUGUCUAUAAUGACUUUCCUUUUUCUGUCUUUAUCUCUUUUAUUUCUGUUUCUUGCCUCAUUGCACUGACUAAAGCCUUUAUUCCUAUGUUGAAUAGAAUUUGGAAUAGCAGAUAUAAGAGCUUUUUUGAUGUUACAUGCAAAGCUUUCAGAAAUUAACCUUUAAAUGUGAAGUUUGUGGUAGGUAUUUUGUAGAUACAUUUAUUGAAAUAUUGAAAUUCCCAUCUCACUCCUGUUUUCUGACAGUCUCUAGUCUGACUGUGUGUCAGAGUGUGGCUAAUGUGUGUGUGUGUGUUGCACAAUUUUAAAUGAUAUAUAAUUUGUCUUUUCUUUCAUUCUGCAAAGUGCAUUGAUUUAUUUUGAAAUAUUUAUUAACUUUGCAUUCCUGGAAUACAUGCCACUUGGUCAUAAUGUAUUAGCCUUUUUAUUUACAACUGAAUUAUCAUUCUGUAUUGAUUUUAGUGUCUUUGCGCCUAUGUCAAUGGGGGAGAUAGGUUUCCAAUUUCUAGUACCUUUGCCAGGUUUUAUGUAAAAAUAGUAAAUUGGACUCAUUAUGGAUACCGGGAAGCUUUCUCUCAGUUCCUAUCUUUGUAAGAUCUCACAUAAUAUUAGUUUUACGCUUUCUCUCAAAAUUUAAAAUUUAUUUUUACCCUUUCCCUCAAAAUUUACUUGUGGGUUAUUUUGCGCUUCUAGAUUUUUGUUUUGUUUGGUAGAUUUAUAUAGGUGGGCAUGGGGGGAGAAUUGUAAUAGGUACAAUUUCUUUACUGAAUAUGAGGCUACUAAGAUUUUUAAAUUUGUUCUUGUGACAUAUUUAGAAAGCAUUUUAAAAAUAUUUUUCUCAUUUCAUUUAAACUGCCUAAUUUAUUGUUGAAGUAGUUUAUAAUAAUUUUUCUUUUAAUAUCUAUAGGAUCUGUAAUAAAUUUCCUUUUAUCAUUCCUGAUAUUGGUAAUAUUUUAUUUGAUAAAUCUUGCUCAGUUUAACUGUCUAUAAUCUUUUUUUAAAAUAAGCCAUUUCUUCGCUUUGCUAGUUUUUCUUGUUUUUCUUGUUUUUUUUCUUCUAUUUCAUGUUUUUGAUAUCUCUGUCUUUCUUUUCUUUUCUCUACCCUCACUGACUUUGAUGUGUUGUUCUUUUGCAAGAUUCUUGAGAUCCAAACUUCGAUGACUGAUUUUAUUUAUUUUCUAUAUAUGCAUUUAAGGCUAUUAAUUUCCCUCUCUUAGCUUGACAAUAAUACAUUCUGUGGCAAUUCUUAUGGUGGCUACCUUAGUUUUUCUAACAUAUGUCUUGGAACUUUAUGGCCCAAUAACAACUGUGUCUUAUACUGAGAUAGUUAAAAACAUCUAGAGAAAGUGAACAUGUGGUUGUCAAAGUAGCAGUAACAAGACUAUGAGAUAAAUGCCCAAUAUAAAUGAUGGAAGCAAGAAGUCACCAGAAUUGCAUGCUAUUCUUAAAGUUCUUUUGAAAGUCCCAAGGUAGAGUUUUAUACAGAGUUAUAGCAUCAUUGUAAAUGAAGACAAAAUAAAGACAUCUAAUAAUGUUAGACAUCCUAAGAAUAUUUCAGUAUCAAUUACCUCCUGCCCUUUGCAUGUUUAUUGGCAUGAAUUUAAAUUAUAUACACACACACCUACACACACACACACACACACAUAAAAAUUCUAGAGGGCAUUUAUUAUUUUGUAUAAUUCAAUUCAUGUUUAACUAUUUUCUAAUUAAAUUAUACCCAUAUUUUGUUUUUUUCUUUGUGUUUCAUUCCUUUCUGUACUUUCUUUUUUUCAUUUCAUUGUCCAAUCUGACAAUUGUAUAGACUUUGGUCUGUAGGCUAAAAACUGUUAGUUUUUGAUUGACUAAUAUGUCUUUAUUUUGUCUUCAUUAGUUUUUGAUUGAUGAAUAUGUCUUUAUUUUGUCUUCAUUUACAAUGAUGCUAUAAUUCUGUAUAAAACUUUACCUUGAGGCUUUUUAAAGAACUCAUAUAUAGCGUGUAAUUCCGGUGCCUUCUUGCUUCCGUGGCUUAUAUUGGAAAGUCAUCUUUCAGCCUCGUUACUGCUACUUUGAUGACCACAUGUUCACUUUCCCUGGGUGUCUUUAAGACUUUUUGUCUUGUUCCCCCAGCAGUUUUCCUGCAAUAUGCCCAUGGGUCAGGUUUCCUUUGAAUGUAUCCAUCUUGGCUUAACAGAUCUUUCUGAGUCUCUGGCCUGAUGUCUACCUUCAGUUUUGGAAAAAAUCGUGUGCUGUAUCCCAUCACAUUUUGCUUCUGUUCAGAUGUGAUUUUCCCACUGUUGUCACUCCACGUUUCCCCCAUGGGCUUGCUCUGCCCCUCCCAUCCACAAACUCACUCCCGUUUCUACUGUCGCCAUCUGGUCCGGGCCACCACCGUCACUCCCUUGGCCUGCUCAGAGGCCUCCUAACUCACCUCCUUAUUCCAUUCUCACCCCAGAUUAUCUGCUCCACAGAAACAGUGGCCAGGAUUAUACAGCGUAUAACAGGCACGUUCUUCUCCUGCUUCCAACACUUCUGUGGUUUCCAUUACGCUCAGAGCACAAACAAAAUCCCCGUACCACACUAAGCCCACCGCCUCUGGCUCUUGCCAACUUCCCAGCCUCCUCACCUGCCCUUUCCUCCUGCUCAUCAUGCUCCAACCACAGUGCUGUGUGCCUGUGCCUGUGUGUGCAGCACGGAUCUAUGUGUGCAUGCAUGUGUGUUUGUAUUUAGAUGUGUGUUUAUGCACACUUGUGUGUGUACGUACAUAUACAUGCAUGUACCUAUGCGUGUAUGGGUACAUACUCAUGCAUGUGUGAGUGUGUUACCUCAAUUAUUCCAAGGGGCUUGGUCUCAAGCCCUCUUCCCCUGAGACCCCGUUCCCCUUGCCUGCUUGUCCUCUGUCCUCAAGUGGCUGGAUCUUGAGAUGCCCGUCCUCUGGCCGGGCCACCCAUUCUGCCCCCUCACUAUUGUUCUUCGUCUUGGUGCUGUGUGUGUUCCUCACAACCCUCAUCUCUGCCACUUUCACUUGUUUCUUUGCCUAGGUUACCUAACUCUGUUUGCUUUGUGUGUGUGUAUUGGGUGUAAGCGUCUCAAUAGAAAACAGACUUCACAAGGCAGGGCCGGUUCUGUUCCAAGCUCGCUGUCUGCACCUGCUGAGUAUUUUGAACACAUGGAUAAAUGAUGGCUUGAGGCUCAAUAGAUAUUUGUUGGAUUGAUCGAUGGUGUAAUGCCUGUCUUUAAGUACAAACUGCAAAGUGAAGCCACCCAGAUUUAUUUCCUUUCUCUGGACCAAGUGUCCCAAACUGAACACUGAGACUGAGGCAGAUUUGAAAUGAUCCAGCCCCUUGGUUCCCACCCCUGAGUGGUCUCAGAAGCCUUCCCCUUGAGCCUCCAACCCUUUCAGUCCUUCCUGAGACUGCGAUCUUAGCAGACACCCUGGGGCUAGUUCAAGAGGUAAAAAAUCCACUGAGAUUUUAUGCUGGUUCCGAAGUUCUUUAUAGAUCAUUCCACGGCUUCUGAUGUCUACGUGUUUAUCCUGAACAUUUCUUCUGUGUCAGAACAACAAACACAUGCUUCCCCUUUGCAUGCCCAGCGGGCACCAUGGAUUAACAAGCAGCUACUGGGCUGGGCUGGGCCAGGCACUGCCCGUGUAUGACACAGAACCUGCCGGAAGCAUGUGCUACUGUGGUUCCCACUUUGCAUCUGAGGAAAGUGAGACUCCAGUUUCUAUGCCCAAGGUCAUGUGGCAAUGGCCCUGGAUCCAGGUCUCUGGGACACAGCCCAAGCUCCUCUCCGCUGGCCUAGACUGGCCAUGGCUCUGUAGCAUGAUUGGGGGGGGUGACCAUGUGCACCCUCAGCCCAGUGACUGACCCCUGUAGUGGUACCUCCGAAGGUGUCUUGUUAAACUUGAGUCUGAUCAUUUUCCCUCCCUGCUUAACUAGCCUUGCAGCAUUCCUGUUCCUGGAGAUCAAACGUAAAAUUCUUGGCAUUGCCUGGAAGACUGCACAUGACUUUUUUUUUUUUUUUUUUUUUUUUUUUUUGACGGAGUCUCUCUGUGUCACCAGGCUGGACUGCAGUGGCAUAAUCUCGGCUCACUGCAACCUCCACAUCCCAUGUUCAAGCGAUUCCCCUGGCUAGCCUCCUGAGUAGCUGGGAUUACAGGCACACGCCACCCCGUCCGGCUAAUUUUUUGUAUUUUUAAUAGAGACAGGGUUUCACCAUGUUGGCCAGGAUGGUCUCGAUCUCUUGACCUCGUGAUCUGCCUGCCUUGGCCUCCCAAAGUGCUGGGAUUACAGGUGUGAGCCACUGCGCCCAGCCGGCGUCUUUCCCUACUGUAUCCAUCUACUUGGGCUGCCAUAGUUAAGUAUCACAAGCAACUUAGACAACAGAAAUGCAGCUUCUCGCCGUUUUGGAGGCUGGAAGUCUCAAAUCGAGGUGUCAGCAGGGUUGUUUCCUUCUGAAAGCUGUUAGCGAGUUCCAGGCCCCUCUCCAGUUUCUGGGGGUCUCAGGCACUCCUUGGCUAAUCGAUGGUCUUCUUCCCCCUGUGUGUUCAUGGGGUCUCCCGUAUGCGUGUCUGUCUGUCCCCAUUUAGCCCAUGUAUAAAGGACACCAGUCAGAUUAGAUCAGGGCCCACCCUUAUCACCUCAUCUUGACUAUCUGCAAAGACUCUACUUCCAAACAAAGUCACAUUUACAGGUACUGGGGGUUAGGACUUCGGCAUAUUUUGUGAGGCAUGAUUCAACCCAUAACACACACCCCUUCAGCCUCUGCCCUGCCCCCUUGGCCUUAUUUUUGUACCUGCAACCCACAAACCUUUCCUGCCUCAGGGCUUUUCCCAGCCUGGAACUCACCCCUCCCACCCAGCUCAUUGCCUCUUGGCCCUGAACUCCCCUCUCUAAUUUGGAUCCACUGUUCUUUGUCUCCAUGCCAUGCUCUCCUUACCCUUCCCAGUUGGAGGCAUUUAUGCAUUUAAUGUCAGGGUCGGUGAAUUGUAUACUGAGGCCUGGGACCCUCUCGUUCUAUUCACGAUGGCUUCUCCAGGCCUGAAGUGGUGUCUGACACACAAAGCACACUCAGUAUAGCAGAUGGAAUAGGCAUUGGUAUGAGCUGGUGGAAUUAAACUCGCUUGCUCGUUCUGAGACUGAGGACGCGCUGGUUCACACCGCCGGUUAUGACGCGACACACGUAAACACAGAAAGGAAGCCAAUAUUGUGGGUGAUGGCCCAGUGCCCUGGGGGACCCACACGGCUGCAGCGUGCAUCCGCCGUCCCACCAGGGGCCACUCAGCCCUUCUCGGAGCUCUCUGGGGACACAUUUCUUCGGGACAUCAGAAAACGAGGUGGCGUUGUUUCCUUAUAGAACAAAGUCAAUUAGAGGGUCCAGGCGAACAUCAGCAGUUUCGGUGCCUUAUUCCCCUCGGGAAGGUGUGUGCCACAUUCAUAAAACCUGAAGGGCGUCCGGGAGCCGAGAGCUACAGAUGGCUACUGUCUGUGCCAGGCAGACUGUGCAGCCUCAGAGGAAGCCCGGUGCUUCCAGGGUAGAGGAGAGGCCCCAUCAGGACUCAUCCAGGCCCCGGCACAAGUCCAGGGGUCAACCUGGAGGCAUCAGGCACCAUUGGUCAGAAUGCUCUGCUGGCCAACAGUGGGCACCAAAUUCAGAAGUGGGCAGCUACAUUAAAAAUGGGGAAGCAACUUCGAUGUUCCUCAGCAGAAGCUUGUCUAAGUCCUUUACUGUCCACCCACAGACCAGAGUCCUGGCCAGGCAGGACAUGUUUCUCUCAGAGGGACAAUGAGUGAUGUGGAAAGUGUUCACGGGUAUUUUAUGUGAAACACAUUACAGCACAUUCGAAUGUUCCAGAGCCUCGGGCACAUCUGAUUUCAAGGUUGAUAAAAUGUUGUCUGCAUCAACCAUAGGGAUCUGCACACACAUAUGUCAUCUACGCACGUAUGUGUUACGUAUAUAUCAGGUGGAAAAAUAAGGCUGGGAUGAUUUAGCGAGAUGACUUGCUUUUCUAGCUGACCCUUUAAAUUUAUUCAGCAAGGUUCUCUUUUCUCCUGCCCUGUAUGAAAACACAGGCAGCACCAUGAAUUUCCUUGUCACUCUCGGGUAAUAAAAGAUACCCAAGUUGGUUAUUAGUAUGCUCAGUCCAGUGUAAUAAUCAAAACUCUGAACAGGAUUGAAAGCGGGGGCCUCUCCCAUCUCUGUAUUCAGACCUGCUCCGGGCAGAAAACCUGCAGGAGGCACUAGGGGUGUGGCCAGCUGUCCCCUUCCUCCCCACCUUGUGUUCUCCCUCCUCUCAUCUUGUUAAAGUUUCACCCCAUCAGGGUUCUUAUUUGAGUGGUACUCCAGUGAGUUGGGUCUGGAAGGGGCUCAGAGCUGCCUGGUGGGCCCAUGAAUACAUUUUUUCUGAGGUCCUUUCUUAGCAGCUGGGGGCUCCUGUGUGGCACGCGGAGGAGGGCAAAGGUCUCUGUCCCACUGCCCAUUCUUCUGUCCUCAGCCCGGGGCCUCCUGGGGCCUCCAGCUGCUUUCUGCUAAGGUGAUUUUGACUAUCCCAAGGACAUGGGCUAGGAUGACCCCCUUUUGCUUGCUUUUCCCUCUGCCCACAUCUGUGCACAGCAAUCCUUUUUAUUUUAUUUUAUUUUAUUAUUUUUAUACUUUAAGUUUUAGGGUACAUGUGCACAAUGUGCAGGUUAGUUACAUAUGUAUACAUGUGCCAUGUUUGUGUGCUGCACCCAUUAACUCGUCAUUUAGCAUUAGGUAUAUCUCCUAAUGCUAUCCCUCCCCCCUCCCCCCACCCCACAACAGUCCCCAGAGUGUGAUGUUCCCCUUGCUGUGUCCAUGUGUUCUCAUUGUUCAAUUCCCACCUAUGAGUGAGAAUAUGCGGUGUUUGGUUUUUUGUCCUUGCCAUAGUUUACUGAGAAUGAUGAUUUCCAAUUUCCUUAUGUGUCCUUUGCACCCAAAACUUCUGGAAAAGCAGAGUUGAUUCAGGGCCUGAGAUCUUCAAAGGCUCUUUGGCGAUUCAGUUGUGUUUCUAGCUUGGAAAUGGCUUGCUCACAUCUCACUUGACCUAGGUUUUGGGGCCAAGAGGAAAAGUUUGAGACUCAUGUGGGGGUCAGGGAGUUGGCAAGGAGUGAGGGAGGCUGUCUGAGCUGCUUUAAUUUUAGAUUUUCCUUGACUAGGCAAAAAGAGCGCUCCCUAAGAUGAAGCUGAGCUCACCAGGGCCCUUUAGUGGGGUCUGAGUCUUCAGUGCAAUAAAACGUGUUCAUUUGCAGGUCAUUAUCUCCUGGGUGAAUUGGUCCCUCAAGGGCAAUGAGGGGAGGGAUAGCUGUAACUGGUUCUCUGGGGUGUGCUGGCUGUAGCUCUCCCUCAUCACUGGUCACCGUGAGGACCACUCAGUAGUGUGUUCAGGGAGAAAUGACACAGAUAGCCAGAUUGUCACUGUAGAAAGAUUUCAGUCUUGGUGGCCUAACUUCUGUGGGUGAUGGAUGGAAGAGCUAUCUAACUAUAAGGUGACUUCUUUGAAUAAGAUUUUUUUUUUUUUUGAGACAGAGUCUCGCUCCAUCGCCCAGGCUGGAGUGCCUGCACUGGAGUGCAGUGGCGCGAUCUUGGCUCACUGCAAGCUCCGCCUCCCGGGUUCACACCAUUCUCCUGCCUCAGCCUCCUGAAUAGCUGGGACUACAGGCACCCACCACCACACCCGGCUAAUUUUUUUGUAUUUUUAGUAGAGACAGGGUUUCGCCAUGUUAGCCAGGAUGGUCUCGAUCUCCUGACCUCGUGAUCCGCCCGCCUCAGCCUCCCAAAGUGCUGGGAUUACAGGCGUGAGCCACCGCACCCGGCCUGAAUAAGCUAUUUUUUAGAACAGUUCUAGGUUUGCAGAAAAACUGCAAAGAUAAGGUAGAAAAUUUCCACAUAUGUCACAUCCAGCUUCCCUACUAUUAACAUAUCCCAGUAGAAUGGUACGUUUGUCAUAAUUGAUGAACCAAUACAGACAUGCCUUUAUUAACUAAAUUUCAUAGUUUAUUUUGAUUUCUCUAUGGUGUUUUGUUAUAAAUCUAAUAAAUCUAAUGGCCUUUAUUUUUCUGUUCCAGAAUCUCAUAUAACAUUUAAUCAUCAUGUCUCCUUAGAUUCCUACUGGCUGAGCCUGUUACUCAGACCUUCCUUGUUUUUCAUGACCUAGACAAUUUUAAGGAGUGUCAGGGAUUUUGUGGAAUGUCCCUUAAAUGGGGUUUGUCUGAUGUGCUUCUCGUGGUUUGACUGCGGUGACCACAAGGGCGUGGUGCCCUCUCAUCACACUGUGCCAGGUGCUUGCUGUCAAUGUGACCCUCGCUGGUUGGUGCUGACCUUCGCCACCUGGCUGAGGUGUAUUCAUCAGGUUUCUUUACUGUAGAGUUCAUCUUUCUUCACCUCUCCAUACUGGACUCAUAGCAAGGAAGCCACCAUGCCUAGCCCAAGUUAAAGGGGGAGUAACUCCAUCAAUCAUUUGAAAUUCUUCUGCACGUCAGAUUUGUCUCUUUUCUCCUACUUAUGAAUUUAUGCAGUCAUUUACUCAUCAGCGUGGGUUCAUGGAUACCCAUUUGAUCCUCUGGGUUACAAUGCGGAGUGACGUUCUUUUGUUGCUCACUUGUUCCAGCGCUGGCUAUCGGGUCCCCUGGAUGCGCCACUUCACUGUGGGUGGUGUGAGCCCUUCCUCACUUUCUGGCCCUACAAGAUGCUCCAGGCUCAGCUUGUACACUCCCUGCCCAGCCCUAGAGUCAGCUGCUUCCCCAAGGAGCCCAGGUUCCUUCCACUGGAUCACGGAAUCGGAAACCAAAGUAGAUGGGGAAGGAAGCGAGCGUAUGAGACUGAGGGGAACAGAGCAGGACGUGAGGGCAACGGCGGGGCAGGGCCCACCCUUUCUGUGUUCAGACCCCUCAUCUUCAACCUGAAAGUCAUCACAGUCAUUGUCCCUUCCCACCAAGGAGGGGCCCUGGGGAAUUCCUUCUCCUUGUCCCCAUAGAUCUGGGCUUAUGUCCUCUGUACCAAGACUUUCCCACCACUGUCAUCCUGAAAAGGGAGACCACAGCACUGAUGUAAAGCAGAGAGAGAUGCCCUGCGUGGGGAAGAAGGCACAGUGGGCAGAAGCUGGGAGGUGGGUGCGGGGCAGCGAGUGUCAUGGGGGCAGCGAGGGUCACAGGGGCAUCCUGUCCCAGCGAGGGCAGGCCAGGAGCCACGGCCUUGAAGCGUUUCGGGGACAGCCACUUCCAGUGGUCCUGCUCGGUGUCUUCCAUACUUGACUUCCGUGCCACGGCUUUCCCCCAUGCCUUGUCCUAAACUCACCCCAGGGUCAGGGGGACUUUGGCACCGCCAGGCCUCACUUGGUGCAGACAUCUCUCUCCUAAGUGCUCUCAGAUGGACAAUCUCAUUUGACCCUGAAGUGGUUUUGGCAUUUGCAGUGUCUGAUGAGGAAACUGAGUCCCAGGGAAGUUGAACAAGUUGUCAGAGGCCACGUACGUCUUCCACAGCAGAUGCAGGAUGUGAGGCGCGUUCAUGGGGGUUACAGAACUUUGCUGUUUCACACGGGGAAGCCGCCGUUCAAGGUCACGUGUCUAGUAAGUGAUGACGCAGAUCUCCGUUUUCUAGUAACUGUGCAACCCGAUGUUUGUUGAUUUAAUACAAUUCGAAUCAUCGGGAUUUUCCAAAGCUCUUUUGUUGAGGCCUAGAGUCAUGACGUCACUCAGCUCCGUCCACAGGGAGCCAUGCUCAGGGAGCUGCCCAGGCAAAGUGGGACUCUGCCUCCAUUUUGGCCCAUGGAGAACCUUCUCCUGGAGGCAGGCAAGGGUGGGAUCUGGGGCCUCCCCCACCUGCAGCUGAUCAAUAUCUCCUGGGCUUCCUUCCAACAGAAGAACACUUAGAACUUUUGCUGCAGCCGGGGGCCAUGCCCUGGGGCUGUCCUUCCAAAUUCUCAUACCUGCCAAGGACCCCUGGCUGCUGCUAAUUGAAGAGCACCAAAGGUUAAUGGUGGAAGGUUAACAGCAGGGCCUAGUGCUUUGGGGCUGAAAGCCAAGUCUCAGAUGAUGAAGGCUGGGGAGACCUUCUAGACGCUUCCUUUUAUCAGCGUGGGUAUUUAUCAGUUCACCUACAAGUGGGGGGCAGGGGUGACUUACUUCAACCCUGUGAACUGGCUUUCCCCGACAGCCACUGCUGUAACGACGAUGAAGUUGCCCUGGAACGCGCGUGCGUCCACAUUCAUUGCACCCCUUCCCAGUAAAGUGGAUGAACAGGUGUGACUGCUGCAGGACAGAUGAGGAUGCUGGCUGAGAGAGGUGCAGCGGCGAGCCCAGGGCUGGACCUGAAGCCAUAUUCUGUGCUUAUCCGUGCCUGUCUUCCCAAUGCUCGGGCUAAGUCUCUGGAUUCUGAAUGAUCGCCAUUUGCCUGUACUUGGCUUUCUUGUGAUUUGGGGAUUCUGGGAGUUCCCACGCCUUUGCUUCUCUGUGUGCACCUGCAGCCCAAUGCCAGCAGCCACAGCAGCACCAUAGAGCAGAAAGCAGAGUGCCAGCACCAUGGACCAGCACCCAUGCACCCGCCCCCUGCCCACCUGGAACACUCCAGGCUCCCUGAGCCUACUCCAAGCCUCUGCUCAGCCAGUCUGUCCCUUUCUCUGCGUCUUCGCCUGUGCUGAGGGUCCCUCUGCCUGAAGUACUCUGACUGCGGCCCUGACCACCCCCAGGCUCCUCUCCAUCUGUCUGCACAUGCCAGGGCCUUGUCCUCCUUCAGCCCCGGUCACCUCCAGAAGCCUCAGCUAGCACAGCCCUCCCCUGCACACGGCUAUCACAGCCCCGUGUGCCUGCCUCACAACAUCUCCCCAAACCCCAGAGGCCUUUUCCUGGUUGUCCUGGCUUCCUUGAAUGUCAGUUCUGCUGGAGCUGCCAGAGGCGGCUGGAGCCCUGACUUGUCUCCCUGUCUCGCCACUGUGCCCGGGCCCUGGAAGAGUCCCUGGUGAUUCCAGGCAGGCAGUCUUUAUCUCCCCAGGAACAAGGAUGAAGGGAUGAGCGUGGAUGUGGUAGCGUGCACCUGCUUUCUGCUUUAUUCCGGGACAAUGGGAAGUGGAUGGCAACCUCCUCAUAAUGGAUGCCUGUGAGCCCAUUGGGGGCCGGAUGGAAUCUCUUCCUUAGAUGUGUGCCUUGGGAAUGUUUGCCCCAACUCUGCAUGUGUGAGACAGAGAGAAGGAGGGGUGGGUUUAAAAUGAAAAAUUAUAUAUCCUACCUAUUAGGUCACGAGAAUAUGACAAAGAAAAGUAAAGCAGACUCAGGCAUAGUGACAGGAGUACUGUUUUGAAUUUACUGGGAAGGUGAUAUUUUAUCAAGGGUUCAGUUGAGGACAGGAGUGUGACAUGAAGGUAUCUUGGAGAUGAAGAGUCCAGGUCAGGGGAGUGACUCAUGCAAAGGCCCUGGGGUGGGAGUGUAGCAGAGAGAUGGGAGCAGAGAGAGGAGGGCUGAGUGGCUGCAAGUGGCUAAAGGGGCGACAGCAAGGGGAUGGAUGGGAGAGGGGCUGUGGCCAUGGCAAGAAUGGGGACUCUAUUCUGGGUGAGGGGCAGCCAUGAGGGGCCAAGCCAGUGAGGCAGGGUGGGACACACUUUGCAGGGGUUCCCCUGGCUGCCGGCUGCAUGGAGAGCAGUCCAUGAGGCACCAUGUUGCUGGCCUGGCCAUGGGUUGCUCUAACAGAGGCAUGCCUGAGUGACUGCCCAGAUAUUUUACCUCUUUUGAUUCGAUGUGUUAAUUUAUAUUUUCUUACUAAACUGUUGAAUCACACAGAGUCUAUUAAAGAUGUCUCUUACAUCCUUUUUACUUUCCCUUCAUCUAUUGUCAUAACCCUCUUCUGUGACUUUUUCUCUUUUUCUGAGUUAGGCUGGAGAGUUGUUGAUUAAAAAAUAUCAGUCUAUAGAUUUGCUUCAUUUCAGUGUUAUUGUUUUGCUAUUAUCUAUUUAGUUUUGCUCUGACCUGUGUUAAUUUGGUUUUGUUUAUGCUACACUUCUUUGUUUCUCUUUUAUUAAUUUGUUGAGUUGAAUCUUUAUUUUUUAUUUAUUCCUGAAAUGGAGUCAUUUCUCAGAGCUCUAUCGACGUAUUUACUUUGUCUGGUAUGUGAGAUUCCUUCCCACUUGCCAAGGUCAAGCAGAUUUCCUCUUAUUGAGCUUCUUUACAGGGUUCCUGCUGCCAUUGAUAUGUUGCCUCUUCAACCCCAUCAGUUUCCUGCCCCUGAGAAUCACACUGUCCCCUCUUUGUUUUCGUGUUCUUCCUGAGGUCUUUCUUCAUUGUGCCCUUUCCUCUUCAUUCUGUGAAAUGUUCUCGAAUCUGCCUUUGAUAGCAUUAUUUUUAUUUUCUUCAGGAUCAGUUCUCAUCUUAUUAAACUUGAAUGGAUAUUAUGUCUGUGAAUUACCUUUUUUAAAAAUGUCUUAAUCAUUAAUUCAUCUCAGAAUAUCCUUUGACCAUGAUAACAUUUGUCUUAUUUGAUAGACACUGUAUUUUCUUUCAUAUCCUAGGAGGUCAACUGCAGAGGCUGCUCACAGUUACAUGCGUGUGUGCUGUCAGUCAGCAGCAACAGACUCAGGGCCUCCCGUGGGUUCAGGGGACACAGCAGAGAAAAGAGAGGCUGGCCCUGCUCUCCUGGAGCCCCCUUCUCAGGAAGAGACAGACAUGCAUGCACAAGGGAGAUGUGAUUUAAGAUUUAAGGUGGAAAUAAAUGCAACCAGGGGAGGUGGACCGUGUGACAGGGGCCUCGCUGGCUUCUGUGCUGGUCAGGGCAGACUUCCUGGAAGUGUCAGGGGUGCAGAACAUGAACCACACAAAAGAUCCACCCUGAAAACCAGCUGAGGAGGAGGAUUCUGGGCAAAGGGAUAGAUGGGUAAGCUCCCAGGCUUGUGGGAAAAAGCAUAGCCAGUGUGAAAGUCUGAGAAAUACAAGUAGGGAUGAUGCCAAACAAAACUAAUAUUCAUUUAAUCAGUUGAGCACAAAAUUCCCUACCUGAGCAACAACACUGGGAGGUGGAAGGGGGAAAGAGGUAGGAGGCAAAAACAGGACAAUUCUCAUUGUGCUUUGCAUAGGAAGGGGCCAGUAAAUAUGAUUUUAUUCUUGAGAUUGAUCUACAAGAAGAGGGUCAACUGAGUGGCUUACUGGAGAGGUAAGCACUAGUAGAAUAAAAAUGAGCAUAAAGAAGAGUAUUUUUCAUCUAUCUGUCGUAUGGAAUUCACUUAAGCUGCAUCAUAUUUUCAUGUUUUUAGUUUUCUCCUCUGUUCACUUAUCCUUGAAUGAGGGCCAGAUCUACUGAGGCCUGCAGCUGGCUGUGAACACUGUGUGUGAAUCCUCUGGGGGCCUCUCUUUGUUCAAAAUAUUCAUAGUACUUAACAUUUCAAAUUCAAUAUUCAGGAGCCCAAGCAGAGAGGAGGGAACCAGGUCUGUGUGCCUGGGCUGCAGAGCCAGCUCUCCACCUGUUUUCCAUUUGGUGUGGGUUCCCAGCAUGCAUGAAACAUAACGUGGUGACAUUCCGCCUUCUUAAUGGAGUCCUGUCAUUAGUCAGUGCUUUUUCAAUUUCAGAGAGCGUUUUCUAACGUAUGGUCCAAUAUGCUACUUGGAGAGAGCUGGGUCACCAGCAAACAAGCAAACAUCAAAAACACUUUCCUCUUGGGUUUUCAUUCAAUUGAAUUACAUUUAGUGAAUAUUUACUGAGUUUCUGCUUAUGUGUCUGGAAGUGACCCAAUCUCAGAUCUCUUUAAGUUGAAAAAGAGUCUUAGUGCUAAGCUCUUGAUGGUAGGGCGGGCAGCCCCGGGGGCCUGGCAUCGUGAGGCACUCUGCAAGUCAAAAUGGGGGAGCAGAAAAGCCAGUGGCAAAGGGAGAAGCUCUGUCUACAGCAAAGCGGAAGAACGGACAGGAGUCCUGGAGGGAAGAAAACCAAGGAGACGAUUUCUCCUUCAGACAGAGGUCAUUGCCUUUAUCUAUGUGUGUGCCAUGUCAGUCUGGCUCAGCUGCUGCAGUGCGUGGUCCCGGAAACGUGCUUUCAGAAUCAAGAGGGACUGGUCAUCGUGAUGAAGUAUGGGUUGUGUGGGAUGUCUGGGAUGAGUGCGUCUAGGCACCCUGAAUGCUGCUGCCUCUGGAUGGUCCAGGCAGUCACUGCAAAGAACAAAAUACUCAUGACAUGCUUAAGGGCUUCGAUGCUAAGUGCAUCACUUACAUCAUCCCCUUAUCACAUUUCUUCCUGAUAAUAUGCCUAUGAAUCACAUUUAUUACCGCAUUCCGGGGAGGCACCUCUGGCUUGAGAGCUCUGGCGGGUCUUGGUUGUGUGGCUCUGAAGGCUGCCCCACUUUAAGACUCCAGGUCUUUCCCAUGUCGAUAACUCGGAUUUCUUUUGUGAGCUUUUCUGUGUCUGAUUCAGACUCAGCUGUCGCUUACCAGCCAGUGUCUGGCCUGGUCAGGGUUCAGGAUAGCGGAUCUGCACCAGGUUCCCUUUUCAGCUUUCAGUAGCCAGAACCACGUGGCUUACUGCCCCCUUUUGGGAUGUGGCUGUGUGUCUUAGAUUGUUUGGGUAGCUAUAACAAAAUAUCACAGCCUGGGUGGCUUUUAAACAGCAGAUUAAUUUCUCACAGCUCUGGAAGCUGGGGAGCCAGGAUCAAAGUGCUGGCAAAUUUUGUGGCUGGUGAGGGCCUGCUUCCUGCUUCAUAGAUGACACCCUCUCACUGUGUCCUCAUGUGGUGGAAGGGGGAGGGUCUCUCUCAGGCCUCUGUUAUAAGGGCACAGGUAUGGUUUGUAUCUGUGUCCCCACCCAAAUCUCACGUUCAACUGUAAUUGCAAUGUUGGAGGUGAAGUCUGGCGGAAGGCGAUUGGAUGAUGGGUGCGGUUUCUUGUGCUUUAACACUAUCCUCCUUGGUGCUGUCAUCGAGAUAGUGAGUUCUCACAAGAUCUGGUUGUUUAAAAGUAUGUGGCAUCUCCUCCCCCUCUCUCUUUCUCCUGCUCCAGCCAUGUGAAGUGCUGGCUCCCCUUUCAGCUUCCACCAUAAUUGUGUUUCCUGAGGCCUCUCCAGAAGCAGAAGCUGCUAUGCUUCCUCUACAGCCUGCAGAACCAUGAGCCAAUUAAGCCACUUUUCUUUAUAAAUUACCCAGCCUCAGGUAUUUCUUUACAGCAGUGUGAGAAUGGAGGAAUACAGGCACUAAUCCUAUUCACGAAGGUGGAACUAUCAUGAUUUAAUCACCUCCGAAAGGCCUCAUCUCCAAAUACCAUGACCUGGGCGGGGUUGGGGGUGGGGGCGGUUAGGAUUAAAACAGACGAAUUUUUGGGAUACACAAACAUUCAGACUUCCAUGAAGAUCCAGCCUGGAGGGAGAUGUGCCUUGUUUUGGCAGAGCCCACUCUCUUUGAGCUAAGGUCUAAUGUGCUCCAUGAAUAAACUGGAAGGAUCAGCGUCUCAGACCAAGACUUGCCUUGACGCGGGGAGCCCACUCCGAUGAUUGAAGAAGUGGAACGAUUGUGCCAACCUUCCUGGGAAAUGAUGCUCUAAAAACGUUUCCAUGUCAUCUCUUCUUCUGGGCUGCAAUGAGUAAUUUGCAUGUCAUUCUUAUCAGCUCACGCAAGGCAAUCAUUGCCAAUCGCUGCCAAGCCCACUGGCUGGCCUAGGAGGGAGCCAGCCAGAUGAGUUCUAACUGUUAAUCUUCCAGAAACAAAUACAACAGAAUAAAAUAAACCAGCUCUUGUUUCUGAUCCCGGGUAAUGGCUCUUUGAGGGUCCUUAGAAACUGUCUCUCCACCUUUCCUUUUCGCAGGUGAGAGUACUAGAAAUCACAGACACAGCAGGAUGGUCAACAUUGUUGGUUCCCAUGGGAGGAGAAGGAAAGUGGAUGAAAAGGUCUUAAAAAUAAGUUUCUGCAGAAGGUUUCCUGGUAAUAACCCUGCAGGCAUGUGAAGAAAAUGCCUCUUUUCCAGGCCGCCAGCUCCCUCGUGGCCUGGCUGUGUCACAUGCCUGGUUUUCAGACGGAGUGAUCCAGACCCUCAGUUGUCAUUCAGUGACUUUUACUUGAUCUUGUCGCAGGUGAAGCCUGGAACACACAUGGUGCUGUCACUGGGGUCCACCCAGCCCGGAGCAGAAAAGAAAUGGUCCCCUGUGGCCUCUUCCCUCUCACUCCCUCGCUCCUGUGCAUCUCAGGGACGGUAGACCGUCCUUCCGUUUGCCUCCCACUCACAGUUCCAAAAAGUACCACGUCCAGGGCUUUUGAUCAGGCUGAAAUCUCCUGCUCUGUGCAGGGACUAGAAUCAGAAAAAUGCAGGAUUCAGGGCUGGUUCUGUGUGGUGUUAUUCACCUCAGUUUCCUCAUAUGAAAAAUGAAAAUUGAGGUAUUGCUUACACAUUUCUUAUUAGAACUUGAAGGCUGGGCAUGGUGUCUCACGCCUGUAAUCCCAGCAUUUUGGGAGGCCAAGGCGGGCGGAUCACGAGGUCAGGAGAUGAAGGCCAUCCUGACUAACAUGGUGAAACCCCGUCUCUACUAAAAAUACAAAAAAAAAAAAAAAAAUAGCUGGGCAUGGUGGCAGGCACCUGUAGUCCCAGCUACCUGGGGGGCUGAGGCAGGAGAAUAGCUGGAACUCUGGAGGCAGAGGUUUCAGUGAGCCGAGAUCGCACCAAUGCACUCUAGCCUGGGUGACAGAGCAAGACUCAAUCUCAAAAAAAAAAAAAAAAAAAAAAAACACAACAGAACUUGAUAUAAUGUAAAUGUAAAACAACUGACUAUAACAUGCAGUGCCCGAUAAGUGGUAUAUUUAAUUGUUACCACAUAAAAUGCUGCCAUUGCAGGUGCCUCUUGUUUUAACCUUGUGCGUUGAUUUUUGUUCGAAUCCAUUCAUCCACCCAUCCAUUCAAUGACUGUUUUAGAUGCUCACCACAUUCCAGACACUGCUCACUGUUGUUUUCCAAAAACAAAUGCUUCUUGCUGCCAACCGUGCAUGUCUUUCCACUGCUCAAGGAGCCUGGCGCCCCUCUCUCGGUGCAUUACCCAACACCACACACAGGAGAGCAAACAGCAGCCUUCAUAGGCCUUCCUCAGAGGAAGCAGAGGAAGAGGAAAGGUCAGACCUGCUUUGACAGCUCUUCAUUGUCUUGCCUGCACUGCCCAGCCUAUUCUUAAUGAAAACUAAGCAUUUGUUCCCCAAAUAUUUACUGACUUCAUUUGCGUGCCAUGCCAAACGAAAGCUCUUGUUCCAAGAUAUUGUUUCUAAACGUGCAGCUUUUUCCUCACUAGCUGUUUCUGGGGUUAUAGUCACUUGUAGUGAUUGCUGGCUGUCCUGGUGUCCCCCUGCUGAGAAGCAGGAGCCAUUGCUAGGUUCUAGAACCACAAGUUGGGCAAAGCGGAGGCUUCAGAGAUAGAAUCCCCUACUAGAUUGCUUUUUCAAUGUCACCCAGAUCGUUACUAUUUGACGUCUUUUUCCUUCCUUGGAAAACAAUGCUUAUGAUACCUACGUUAGGGUCAACGUAAGAAGUGAAUGUGUUAACAUUUGUAACUUGAAAACACAGGGUUUCUGCCAAAGAAAGAAGACUAAACAGAGGUUGAGAGUCCACUAACUCUGCUUCGAACACAGAAAUGUUGGAUUAAACAUGUUGAAUGUAAGAAAUAUAGGUCAGGUUGAAAAUAAGGAGAAUCACCGCAUGCUUGAAAUAUAGAUGUGCUUUCUAGCCAAAAAGUCAGACAGAGUCGCAGAGGCGUGGCCCUCCACUUGGUGCUGACAGGCUCAUCAGGAUCUGAGGUGGAGCGAGUUAAAGGAGCCAUGUCGAGAGGGGCUUCCUGCAUAAAGUGCUGCGUCCUUUGUGAAAAGGGCACUGUGGAGUUUACAGCUGGUGUUUCCUGUCUGUCCACUCAGAAGCAAACCAUCUUCCCAAGGCCACGGGUAAAAGCAAAGCAUCUCCAACAAAACAAAAUCUGAGCCUGUAUUGUUAGUAUGUGAGAGACAUGAAUUUCCUGUUGAACGUGGUGCAGAAACCCUGAGUGUGCUCAUAUGCACACUCACACUCACACACACAUUUAUCCUAGAUCAGUGGAACCAAUAGGGCGCCAAUAUAAGCAAAGCUUAAACUCUGAGUAACACAUAACUUUCACUGAGAAUAAAAAAUACAGAAUAAAAAAUACAGAUUCGCUUCAGAAAUCCACCCAAGAAAAUGAAUAAACAAGGUCAUCUCAUGCAAUUUGAAGAAGGUAUUUAACAUCCUUAAAAAGACAACACAAAGAGUAGAUUACAUUAAAAAUGAAAACAUGAAGAUUAGUGUAGAGUUUUACUUUUGGUUAUAAUAAAACAAAUAAUGUGGACCGACAUUCCUAUUGCAAAACAACUAGAAAAAGAGGCAAAACUUUUGGAACUGCAUUGAUGGUAUCAGAGAGCUCUCGAGGCAGAGAAGCAUUAUGGGGCCAAGAUGUGGCGGAAGAAGAAAACUCACAGAGGUGGCCCUGGCAUGUGGAGUCAGCAUUUGCUCCAUUCCAGCACCAUCUGAUGACUUGUUCUGUGUUGAUGAAGAUGCUGUAUGUCUUCUCUGUCCACUGAGGCAGCCACUAGCCACACACGGCCACUGAGCACCUAAUAUGUGACCACUGUGGCUGAGAAUCUGAAUUUUAGAUAUUAUUUAAUUUUAAUUAACUCAAUGUAACUAGUGGUUGCUAUAUAGGAUAGCACGGCUCUAAAAGCAUUUGCCAAAUUUGGACAAAGCAGCUGAGAGGCUGGGAGGCUAGUAGGAGCUUUCAUCUGACAAUUGGAACGGGGGGACAAAAUCGCAAUAUUAAAGCCCAGAUCUGCUCAGAAUGGGGAUGAAAUGGAUGAUGUUAUGAGACGCUCAGCCUCCCUUCAAGACACAAUAUUCUUUGUGUUGUCUAUUUGAGGCCAGGGGUCAGCAAAUGACAGCUCAUGAGCCAAAUACGGCUCACUGCCUAUUUUUGUAGAUGACGUUUUAGAGGAAUGCAUCCACCUUCAUCUGUUCUUUAGAGUGGAUGGCUGCUCUCACACUGCACCCGCAAAGAUGAAGAAUUGUGACAGCCCGUAGGGGCUGCAAAGCCUUAAAUAUUUACUAUCUGGCCCUUUACAGAAGAAGCUUGUCUAGGUGCUGACUCCCCAGGCUUCCAGGAGUGUUGGCAGGUGACAGGUCAUAGAUGACUUGCUCUUAGCUGAAGGGAAGUACUUUCCCCAGGGCUACACAUUCUGCCUGGGGCUGUACAGACCCAUUGCCUGGUGAUGCACGGUAAAGAGUUGGUCCCCUCACAUAAAUUGAGGACAGCAAUUAAGGGCCACUGCAGCUCCAGAGCUCCCACGGGAUCAGCCAAGGCUUCCGAUAGAACUGCAUCCCGGUUCUUUGCCCUAUCCUGCCUCCUUUCCUCUCUCAUAGCCUUGUUCCCAAGAACACUCCCCCAAAAUCUUCAGCAAACAAAUCUUUGUCUCACAGUCAGUUUCCUGAGAGCUCUGCCUAAGAAAGGAGUUCAGCAAUUCUCCUCAAAACCUUUGAUUGGUGACUCAAAGGAAUAUAUUCUAGGAGUAAGAGUAAAACAGAAAGAGAGGAUCUUAAAGGGGGAUAAUGCCCAGGUUCAAACUGAGCUUGCCUUGACUAAAGACCCUGAGAUUACUAGUGUUUCUAGUGUAGCCACUGGCCGGAAGCAAAUAUAAUUCCUCUCUAGAAAAAGACAACAUUAUCUGAAACAUUAAGCUCUGAACUUUUCAAAUAUAGUGUCCAGCAUUUACUAAAAGUAUCCAGGCAUGUGAGACAACAAUACAGCUGCAAACCCAGAAGAAACAAUAGGUAUUAAGAGCAAAUUCCUAGGAGAUUAAGGUGAUACAUUAGGAAAUAUUCCUUCAAAUAAAUAUAUUUUAUAUUCCCAAGGAAAUAAAAGACAAGAUUAAAAAGUUAUGUAGAAAAUUGGCAACUAAUAAAAAAAUUUAGAAUUAUAAAGCAAAGGAAACAAAUCAUCUAAUGGAAGGAUUUACAUCAACAUUAGACACAGCUGAAUAGAAAAUCAGAAAACUGGAAGACAGGCCAGAAGAAAAUAUUCAGGCAUGUGCUUAGUGAUAAAAAGACUUUAAAGAUAUAUAAAAAAUAAUUAGAAGCAUAGGGACUAUGGUGUAAAAAUUUAAUAUAUGUGUAAUUAAAGCCCUACAAGUAGAGGGAAAAGAAUACGGUAUAAGACCAAUAUUUGAAAGCAAUAGGAUGAGAAUUUUCCAAAAGUGACUAUAAAUACCAAGUCAUACCAAACAUGAAACCUAGGCAGAACAAAUGAAAAGAAAAGCACAAUCACAAUAUAGAAAACCUCUGCACCAGUAAGAAUGGCAAUUAUUAAGAAGUCAAAAAAAAAUAACAGAUGCUGGGAUGGUUGCAGAGAAAAAAAGAAUGCUUAUACACUAUUGGUGGGAGUGUAAAUUAAUUCAACCAUUGUGAAAGACAGUGUGGUGAUUCCUCAAACACCUAAAAACAGAAUUACUGUUUGACCCAGCAAUCCCAUUACUGGAUAUGUAUCCAAAGGAAUAUAAAUUGUUCUAUUAUAAAGAAAAAUGUAUACAUAUGUUCAUUGCAGCACUGUUCAAAAUAGCAAAGACAUGGAAGCAACCUAAAUGCUCAUCAGUGGCAGACUGCAUAAACAAAAUGAAGUACGUAUUCACCAUGGAAUACUAGGCAGCCAUGAAAAAAUAAGAUUAUGUCCUUUGCAGGAACAUGGAUGGAACUGGAGGCCAUUAUUCUUAGCAAAGUAACACAGGAACAGAAAACCAAAAACUACAUCUUCUCACUUAUAAGUGGGAGCUAAAUAAUGAGAAUACAUGGACACAUAGAGGGGAACAACACAUACUGGGGCUUGUCACAUUAGUGAUAUUUUCUCAAAUUAGCUCAGUGGAGGGUGGGAGGAGGGAGAGGAUCAGAAAAAAUGGCUAAUGGCCACUGGGCUUAACAUAAUACCUGGGUGACAACCCCCCAUGACAAAAGUUUACCUACAUAACAAACCUGCACAUGUUCCCCUGAACUUAAAAGUUAAGUUAAAAAAAAAAAAGAAAAAAAGAAAACCUCUGAAAACCAAAGACAGAAAAGCUUAAGGUUGAUAAAAAGUUAAAAACAACAACUACCCAGAUUUCCUUCAAAGGAGUAAGAAUAAACUGACAGCUCAUUUCUUAAUGGAAAAAUGAAAGCCUAGAGAUAAUGGGUGAAUGAUGAAAGAGUUGAAAUGAGAAAUUAAUAGCAACAAAAUAACUAGAAAAUCCUCACAUAUGUUAAAAUUAAACAGCACAACUUUAAACAACUUUUUUUUUUUUUGAGAUGGAGUCUCACUCUGUUGCCCAGGCUGGAGUACAGUGGCACGAUCUUGGCUCACUGCAACCUCUGCCUCCUGGGUUCAAGCAAUUAGCCUGUCUUAGACUCCCGAGUAGCUGGGAUUACAGGCACACACCACCACUCCUGGCUAAUUUUUGUAUUUUUAUUAGAGACAGGGUUUCCCCAUGUUGGCCAGGAUGGUCUCGAACUCCUGACCUCAUGAUCCGCCCACCUCGGCCUCCCAAAGUGCUGGGAUUACAGGCAUGAGCAACCGUGCCCAGCCUAAACAACUCUUUGGUCAGAAACAUCAAUAUAAAACUUGGAGGCCGGGCGUGGUGGCUCACACCUGUAAUCCCAGCACUUUGGGAGGCCAAGGUGGGCGGAUCACGAGGUCAGGAGAUCGAGACCAUCCUGGCUAAUAUGGUGAAACCCCGUCUCUACUAAAAAUACAAAAAAUUAGCCAGGCGCGGUGGCGGGUGCCUGUAGUCCCAGCUACUCGGGAGGCUGAGGCAGGAGAAUGGUGUGAACCUGGGAGGCGGAGCUUGCAGUGAGCUGAGCUGAGAUCACGCCACCGCACUCCAGCCUGGGUGACAAAGCGAGACUCCGUCUCAAAAAAAAACUUAGAAAAUAUUUUGAACUGAAUGUAACAAAAAUAAUACAUAGCAGAAGCUAUGAGAUAAAGCUAAACUAAUGCUUAAGUGCAAAAUUAUUUAUGAAAUGGAAAUCUGAGAAAAGCAAAGUGUGCAUUUGCCAAUAUAGGAUGAUAGAAUAUAUUUUAGGUAAUAAUUUGUUCCCUUGAUUUACAGUAUGUAAAUAUUUAUAUCUAUGCUUUGAAAGCCCUCACCUGCACUUUAACCCAGACCUAACAAUGUUCUGGAUGGUCUGAUUUCUUAAAAAAAAAAAAAAAAAAAAAAGGCAAUUGUAUUACAGUAUGACUAGAACAUCUUUUAAAUGAAUGCUAUUUGGUCACUGGAUUCCUAUAGUGAAAAAAAAUUAAUCCCUUUUAUCACAUCAUAUUAAAAAAUAAGUCCAGAUACACAAUAGAUUAUUAGAAUGUAAAAUUUAUCAGAGGCAAAUUUUAAGUGAACUUCAGUACCAGAAAGAUUUCUUAAUCUAGACUCAGCAGCACUAACUGUAAUGGAAAGGACUGAUUUAUUAGAUGACUUGGCACUAUUAGAACUUCUCUUUUUCAGUAGACUAAAAAGGCCAUUCCAUGAGUGGAAGGAAAAUAUUUGCUAUCUAAUAUCCAGACCCUGGAAGAGGCAGAGGUUUCUUAAAUAAGAUGCAAAGAUCAUUAAUAAAAAAUUUGUAAAACAGAAAAUUAGACACAAUCGAAAUUAAGAACUUAAGUUCAUAAAAAUUAUAUCAAUAAGACAAGAAAAUACACUCCUCAGAUACAAAUCAGAGAGCAAAUUUCCAAACAACCCAUAAACACAAGAACUGAUGACCAAUUCAUGACUUAUCAGGACAAUAGAAACCAAGACCACAAGGCAAACUUGUCUACACCUAGCAGAAUAGCUACAAUUUAAAAAGCUAGGAAGUACCAAGUGUUGGUGAGGAUACAGAGAAAUUGGAGCUCUGUUACAGUAAUGGUGAGAAUUUAGUGAUUACACUCAUAGGUAUAUGACCCCAAAGAAACGCGUACUCAUAUAAUCACAAAAAGCAUGCCUAAUAGAUUCAUAACAGCAUUAUUUUUGCGAGUCAACAACUGGAAAUGUCCCAAGUGCCAAUCAGCAGUAAAAUGGAUUAGUGCAUUAUGGGAAACUUAUACAAUGGUACAUUAGAGCAAUAUAUAAUAAUAAUCUGCAGUUACAUGGAAUAAUAUGACUUGCUUUCACGCACAUUAUUUUGAGCGUGUGUGUUUUAUAAACAGGCAAAAGCAAUUUAUUGUGUUAGAAGUCAAGAUAUUGAUUAGGUUAGGUGAGGAAGGGUAUUCAUGGGCUGAGAGAAUGAGAGAUUUUUUUGAACACUGGGAAUGCUCUGUUUCUUGGCUUGGGGUGUGGCUGGUCAUACCACAUGGAUAUAGGGAUGUUUACUUUGUGAUAAUUUAUCAAGUGGUCACCUUCUGAGCCAUAUAUAUACUCAUACACAUAAUUCCAUAGCCAGAGCCUUACAUAACGGAAGUGGAUGGAGGUGGUGGUGGAGUGGGGGGCAGGUACCAGAGCUGGUGGUGAACUUGGCACACAUUAUUUUAGGCAUGAAGCAUGAAAUAGUUAUUAACUUCAGAAAACGUUUUUAUAAAUAUUAUAACACAGUAAAUGACUUUUUGUGCAUGGCUCAUAUAUGUUUACAUCAUGAAAAUUAUAUGAAUGUUAUGUCAAUAUCGACUCUAAACCAAUCCUGGGAUUAUUCUAUGCAUGCAGUAAAGAGUUUGGUUGGAGGGAAAGUGUGCAUGUCGGUUUUAGAAUGAUUGUAAGAAAAUCAAAUCCCCAACUUCUCUGGUAGGAUGGCUAUUAAUAUCUAAUGGUGACAAAUUAAAAAUUGCAGUAAAAGAGCCUUUCUUAGAUAUAUGACAUCUCAAAAGAAAUUGCUAAAAUAGAUUAAGUUAUUGUUUCUAGGAAGCAAAUGAAGAAAAUAUUGAUGCAAAGGGAUUCUUAAAAAAAAAAAAAAACACCUUGUAGAACUUGUAGUUUUUAAAACUACUUAUUAUGUAAUCCCAGCACUUAGGGAGGCCAAAGUGGGUGGAUCAUUUGAGGUCAGGAGUUUGAGACCAGCCUAGCCAACAUGAUGAAAUCCCGCCUCUACUAAAAAUACAAAAAUCAGCUGGGGAUGAUGGUGCAUGCCUGUAGUCCCAGCUACUUGGGAGGCUGAGGCAGGAAAACCACUUGAACCCAGGAGGUGGAGGUUGCAGUGAGCCAAGAUUGCACCACUGCACUCUAGCCUGGGCGACAGAGCAAGACUCUGUCUCAAUAAAUAAAUAAGUAAAUAUUUAAUAAAUGAAAUCUAUAACUUUAUACAUUUUUCUAUAAUAUAAAUAAAAUCUGUAACAGUAAUAGCUAAAGGUGCCAUUUAUAUCAGUAAAUGUCCACAUAAAUUUAAUAACUCAUACGUUCCAUAAACUCUCAGAGAACGGGAAAGAGAGAUACCCAUCUCAUUUCAAUAAUUGAUACAAUUAUGACGUCACAGCUGAACAAGCAAGCACAGAAAAAAAUGUAUAUUCAAAUCUACUUUAAACAGAUAAACAAAUCCUAAAUAACAUUUAAUAUUAAGAUCAACAAGAUCUUAAAAGAAUAAGACAUCACCACCAUACAGGGUUAAUCAGAGGAAUGUGAGAAUGAUUCAGGAAACCUAUCAAUGGGGCAUUACACUAGGAGAAUAAAGGAAAAACUUUAAUUAUCUCACUAGCUGCUGAAGAAGCAUUUGAUAAAAGUCAAUGCUCAUUCCUGAUAAAAAACCACUUAGAAAACGAAGACAGUAAUCAAACGCUCUUAUCUCAAUAAAAAGUAUUUACCAGAAAAUGGAAGCAAGCAUCAUACUUAAUGGUGAAACAUUAGUGAUGUUUUCUCAUAUUAGCUCCGCCAGGAUGUCCACCAUAUAUCACCGUUUAACAUUGCGCAGAAGGUUCUACCAAUGUAAAAAUGAAAAAAGUAACUGUAGCGAUAUGACAGUACAUAUAUGAGAAUAUUCUUUCCCAUAAAAAUGCAAAAGCACAAACUGAUAAAUUGCUGGAACCGGCCGUGAGAGUUCACCAACCUGGAGCUGAAUAUAUCAACCUAUGAAAAUCAAUAGCUUUUCUAUAACCAGCAACAAUCAAAUAGAACAGGUAAUAGAAAAAAAAGCAUUCUAUUCCGGGCCAAAAUAAUAAUACAAAAGAACUCCGGACAAUUCUUACCUACUGGAAGAGUAAAAGUUGGCCUGAGUAGCUGAAGAGACAUUCAUUGUUGAUCAGAGUAGAUCAACACUCUAGCCAACACUCAAAAACUCUCAGUGGCUUAGCAAAAUGGACAUCCAUUUCAGCUCACACGAAUGAGCUGAUGUUCAGCAUGGACUUCUGGGAUGUGACCUUCCAUGUGGCUAUUCAGGGACCCGGACUCCUUCCAGCUUGUGUUUCCUGAACCCUCGGUGGCCUCAGGUUUCCCUGCGAGGUCUCUGCUUGCAUGUGGAAGGCAACCAAAGGAGAUUGAGAGACAGUGCAGACGAUUCCUAUGGGCCAGACCUGGAGGCCAGGAGCAUCAUUUCUGCCCACGUUUCAUCAUCUGGAACUUAGUCACGUCGUCACACCCAGAGUGAAGGAAGAUGAAAAAUAUCACUCCCUCUGUGUCCUGGAAGAAAAGGAAAGUGGUUUGGGAGAGGCUUCCGAAUGUUUGGCAACCCGGGAAAGACUUAAUGCUGAAAGGGUGUCAUUUCUCUCCAACAACUCAUGCAUCCCGUCGGUAUCUCCAACAAAUUCCAAUUGGUUUUAAUAGGGAAACUGAUGAUCUGAUUCUCAAGUUUGUAUGGCCAAUAAAUGUAUGGAAAUAGCCAGUACAAUUUUGAAAAAAUGCACCAUGGGCAUGACUGUGGAUGUGGGUUUGCCUUAUUUGAUGUGCCGUAGGUGGAACAAUAAACACAAUGUGACAUUAGUGCAAUAUCAAUACAUAACGGAAGAGAAAAGGCGAUCUGGAAACAAAUGGACACAUCAGGGGAUUUGCACAUAAUCAGAUUAAAUUCAUAGACAGUAAAAGUGACUUUUCAAGUUAAUGAGGACUAAAGAUCUAUCUAAUAAGUGAUUUUGGAAUAUUUGACUACCCAUUUGCUAAAAGAAAUGUCAAUGGAUCAUAACUUAUAUGUUAAUAAAUUUCAGUUUUAUUAAAGAUUUAAACCUAACAAAUAUCAAUAUAAUCUGAGGCAGGAGAAAGCAUAGUGAUAUGAAUGAAUUAGAAACCAUAUGGAGAAAGACUGACAAAUUCCCCAUGAUAAGUAACACAGUACACAAAGUUAAUUGAUAUCUGGCAGAAUGACAAAAAUAUUUCAACAGAAACAGGCAGGAUUUUAAUAUUCAGAAUUUAGAAAGCAUUCACACACAUCAACAACAAAAAGACAACGCAGUAGAAUGUAGUCAAAGAAUAUGGAUGGCUGAUUGACUGAACAUUAUUAAAAUGGCCACUAAACACAUUAAAAGAAUAUCAAAUAUAAACUAAAACAAGAUUUUUUGCCUCUCGUAUUAGGGAAAAAGCAUAAAAAACCAUCAUGUGAAAUGCUGGGGAGGAGGUACUGUCUGCAUUUUGGUGGGAGCAUGCAUUGGAAAGGCCUUUAAAAGGGUAGCUUGUUAAUCAACUGAUUACAAAAUCCAUAGACUCUGAUCCAGUACUUGUAUUUUAGGAAUCUGGAUCAAAGAAGAGCCAACCCAUGUUCAUGAGACAUGUAUGCAUGCAUGUACAAUUUGUUUUCUUCACAGCAUUAUUUGUAAUUGCAAAAACAUGAAAACAAAUCGUCAUUAAGACAGAAUGGUUACAUUAAUAAUCACAAAUCCAAUCAAUGAAAUGCUACAAAAGAGUUAGAAAUGGAGAAAGAUCUAAAGGCUGAUUUGUAAAAUUAAUAAGAUGUAUAGCUAAGUGAAAGAAGCAAGUUGUUGACAGGGUAUGAUAUAAUUCCACUCAUGUUGGCACACACAUAGAUACAUAUGAAAGAGAGAGAGAGACAGACAGAGUCGAAGAGAAUGGUAGAGAGAGAGAAAGGGAGAGCACGUCAGGUUGCCUACUCAAUGCAUUGCUUUGAAGGCAUUUGGUCAAUGAGUACCAAUAAGAAUGUGAUGAUCUGAAGAGCACGUCCUAAUUUGGCAGGGUAUGCUUCCAGAAUCCUUUUAAAGGAAAAUGUAUCAGCAAGUUACAUACAUAGUAAGUAACAAAAGACAAAGAAAUUAAGCAUGUAACUACCUCCCUUACUUCUUCCUUUCUCCUUUCUCUCUCCUAAGAACAAUUCCUUGCCUGUAUUAGCAUCUCCGAUGACAAACCUCCCCCGCUGCCUCCAUGCCCCUUCCCCAACUCUAAGGUUCUUGGCAGUGUGCUGAGGACUGCAGCCCCCAUCCCUAUCACUUCCUAUCAGUUGCUGCUGGAGCCAUUGAAGGACCCACCCUCAGCUCUGGUUCUGUCCAUGCAUCCCCUCCAGAGGCCGCCGGAGAACUCAGGGAAGGUGGAGUAAGGAGGCUGCCCAGAGAGCAAAGCAGGCGUCUGCUCUGGCAAGACCAACCCUAUGUGUCAGCAACACUGAAGCUUUCCCUUGGUGUCUCUCUAGGAGAUUUUGGGAGACUUUGGAAGAUCUCCCCUUGCCCUGCUGGUGCCACCCCGGUGACUCUUGCUUCCGAACUGCUCCUUGUUGUUGCCUGUGGAAUUGCACUAGUGUGGUUGGUCUCCAUUCUCUCUGAUCAGUUGUUUUUUCUCCUUCUUUGAUUUCUCUUUCCAAAUGUUAAUAUUUCACAUGCUUCGACGCUGCUGGCCCUUACUUCUUUUUUUUUUUUUUUUUUUUUUUUUUUUUGGAGAUAGAGUCUCGCUCUGUCCCCCAGGCUGUAGUGCAGCGGCACUAUCUGAGCUCACUGCAAGCUCUGCCUCCCGGGUUCACGCCAUUCUUCUGCCUCAGCCUCCUGAGUAGCUGGGAUUACAGGCGCCUGCCACCGGGCCCGGCUAAUUUUUUGUGUUUUUAGUAGAGACAGGGUUUCACCGUGUUAGCUAGGAUGGUCUCGAUCUCCUGACCUUGUGAUCCACCCACCUCAGCCUCCUAAAGUGCUGGGAUUGCAGACGUGAGCCACUGCGCCCGGCCUGGUCCUUACUUCUUACUCAUUGUCAUCAAUUGUCCAGAGCUUCCUCUGUGACACCCAGAAUGUAAUUUCCAACUCUGUCUCCAGUCCUGACCUCACUCUAAGUGCACAGGCGCUGUGGGGAGUCUCCACCAGUGGACCUCAGAGCACUGCUGUUGGGCAUGCUGGCCAGAGCCCUGCAGCCUGCUUCCCUGGGUACCCCGCACACCCCUGUGGGGCUGAGGGCAACCCCGGAGAGAUUAGGCACCAGUCAGCUCAAGGUCUAGAGUGGCAGCUGCCCUGGGGGUCUAGGGAUCCCCACACUGCUGCUCCCACAAGACCCUCUCCCACUGUGGUCUCCACUUCCAGCGUUCUGGGAAAUUCAGCCACAGGAGGCUUAUGUACUGACAUUUCCACUGUAGCAAGCUCCCUUGGGUUUCCUGUGCCUCACAACUUCUGCCCAUAGGUAUAUCCUCCACAUGUAUUAUACACACAUCAAUAUGACAUAGCCGUAUCCUCCACAUGUAUCACACACACACCAAUAUGACAAGGUGAAAUGGAGACCAUACGUGUGAAUGGAAUGGAAACCAGCAUUUCUGGAGCAUCCACUGUGUGUCCUCUGCUAUACGGGCUGCAUCCCAUGUAGAAUCUGUAAUUCUCACAAUAACCUUGGGUAGGUGGAUAUUACACUGACUUUAGAUAUGAGAAAAAUAUGACCAAAUCCUAUUCUCAAUUUUCACUAAAAGUAUGGCCUCGGGAAAAUUGCUUAAAAUCAUUUAGAUUCAGUUUAGAGUUGAGGCAAAAGGUUGUCAACCAAAAUAACAGAGAGGCCCUCUAAAAGAAAAGAUGUUUUUUUGAGAACGGAGCAUUGCAAUGGAAAAGUGCCGCAGUAAACACGGUGCAUAUUCAGGGAGGUAAAAGAGAACAAAGGAUUUUUACAGGUAAACAAUGAGGAGGAUUACAUAAUUGUUUUGAGAUCAUUGUCCUUGAUUAUAAGGAUCAAUAGCAAGGGUGACAGCAGUCCAAGGUUGGACAGGCAGUUGCUGGGCAGAUGUCUUUGUGAAAGUAAAUUUUGUUGGCUCACGCCUGUAACCCCAGCACUUUGGGAGGCCAAGGUGGGCAGAACACCUGAGGUUGGGAGUUCAAGACCAGCCUGACCAACAUGGAGAAAACCUGUCUCUACUAAAAAUACAAAAUUAGCAGGGGGUGGUGGCACAUGCCUGUAGUUCCAGCUACUCAAAAGGCUGAGGCAGGAGAACUGCUUGAACCUGGGAGAUGGAGGUUGCAGUAAGCCGAGAUCGCACCAUUGUGCUUCAGCCUGGGCAACAAGAGUGAAACUCCAUCUCAAAAAAAAAAAAAAAAAAAAAUAGGAAGUAACUUUUGUGCAAGGUUGUGGGUUUUGUAGAGCAUCUUUCAUUAUUAGGCAUACAAGCAUCCCUGGACUCCUUUGCUCUAUUUUUCGCCGUUUUCAUAGCAUUAGUGACUCCAUUUGAUUCUGAUAACUUUCACGAAGUCUUUGGAAUUUGACCAACUUUUUACUGGCCAAAUAUUAUGUGCCUUGGACUGUGCUAGGCAACGUGGAUCAGACAGAGGUGGCCCAGACAUAGCCCUAUGUCGCCAAUUAUCCAUAGCCUAUCAGCAAGCAAAUUAAAUAUACAUACAUUAAAUGAAUACAAUCCUGUGAACAGGUAUCAAGUACCACUGCCACAAUGGACAUGGUGGUAAGUAGCAAGGACACUGAGGUUUGUAUUAAAAGUCACAGCACUAUCCUGAAAACAGCAAUUGACUUGCCAUCAGGAGAUGGCAUCAGGGUCAUUGAAAUCCUGACGGUGAAAAUAAGCACAAGUAUUUUAACCAUAUCAGCUUUGUCAGAAAAGGGAUACAUUACUUCAUCCACUUAGUCAUUUCAGUGAUUCUCAAAUGCAUAAACUAGAUGAUUUGAAAAUAUAUGUUCUGAGCAGACACCAUGGCUCAUGCUUGUAAUCCUAGAACUUUGGGAGGUCGAGGUGGGUGGACUGCUUGAGCCCAAGAGUUUGAGACCAGCCUUCGCAACAUGCUGAAACCCUGUCCCUACAAAAAAUACAUAAAGUAGUCGGGCUUGGUGGCGUGCACCUGUAGUCCAGCUACUCGGGGGGCAGAAGUGGAAUGAUCACUCAAGCCUGUGAUCCUGCCACUGCCCUCCAUCCUGCACAACAGAGUGAGACUCUAUCUCAAAAAGAAAAAGAAAAGAAAAUAUAUCUUCUUAAAUAACAAUCACAGAUAUAGAGGAUAAAAUAUAACAGAAAUUCUUCAUAUGCACAGCUGAGUUUUUGUGAAAUAAAGGCAACAAAUUUAAAGAAAACCCAAAACAAGCAUAGUUUUAUAACACUGAAGCCAAUGUUUCCUUAGGGGGCAUUUUUACCCACCUUAUAAACGUGACUUUUUUUUUUUCAGACAGAGUCUCGCUCUGUCACCCAGGCUGAAGUGCCUGGUGCAAUCUCGGCUCACUGCAAACUCUGCCUUCUGGGUUAAAGCCAUCCUUCUGCCUCAAGCCUCCUGAGUAGUUGGGAUUACAGGUGUCCACCACCAUGUCCUGCUAAUUUUUAUAUUUUUAGUAGAAGCGGAGUUUCACCAUCUUGGUCAGGCUGGUCUCAAACUCCCGACCUCAAGAGAUCCACCUGCCUUGGCCUCCCAAAGUGCUGGGAUUACAGGCGUGAGCCACCACACCUAGCCUAAAAUACUUUUUAAAAAAACGAAAAGAUAAAUCUUUGAGUCCAUGCAAGGAUGGGAGAUGUAAAAGUGGCUCACAUAAAAUUACUGGGAACUUGAGAAAAUGCACAUUCAGUAAAGUGCUACCAGAAAAAAAAAAUCCAUCUUCCAACAUAGUGGAACACAGGACAGUCUCAAGUAAGACCCCAGGAAAAUGCAGAAAACAUGAGUCUUGUGAUCAUUGAUGGUAUGAAUCAUUAAAUCGCCUAGACUGGGGCUUGACAUUACAUUUAUUAUCUGGUUUAAGAAACUCCAAGUGAAGCAAUUAACAUGAGGUAAGCCUUGACUGUUAGAACCUGAGGAAGCUUGUUAGACACAGACUAAAUCGUUGCUCCCCAGUCUUUCUGGCACGGGGGUAUGGAGCUGGGGGAUGGUUUUGGGAUGGAACUGUUCCACCUCAGAUCAUCGGGCAUUAGAUUCUCAUAAGGGGCCCACAACCCAGAUCCCUCACAUGUGCAGUUCACAGAGGGUUUGCCCUCUCAUGAGACUCUAAGGCCACCUUUGAUCUGACAGGAGGGAGAGCUCAGGUGGUGAUGUGAGCUCAUGGGCUGCUCAACGCCUGCUGUGCCAUCCAGUAACUAACAUGGCGUGGAUGGGUACUGGUCUUCCGCCUGGAGACUGGGGACCACUGGUCUAAAUAAGCGCUGUAGAAUCACCCUUUCCCUCAUGGAUGCUGCAUGGUUUCUACCAGGUAAGUGUCCACAAACAUAAGGCCACUCUCUAAAACCACAACACACUUCAGCAAGCAACUCACAACAGGAACAGGAGUCAUCCCAAACAACAAAAGGCAGAUCUGACCACUGAGAAGUUAAAAUAACAGAAUUUUUGGAAACAAAGUGUAAAACGUGUACACUUAAGAUACAUAAAAGGAAAGCACUAAAAACACACACACAAAAACACCCCAAGAUAUGAUUUAAAAAACACCAGAGAGAUUUAGAGAAACAGAAACAAAACAAGGAAGCAUUUUAUGAAUAAUACGUAUAGUUAAUAAAAUUAAAACUUGAAGGAUGAUGUACUAAGUAUUGGGUUUGGUGAGCCGGGCACGGUGGCUCAUGCCUGUAAUCCCAGCACUUUAGGAGGCUGAGGUGGGUGGAUCACAAGGUCAGGAGUUUGAGACCAGCCUGUCCAAUAUGGUGAAACCCCAUCUCUACUAAAAAUGCAAAAAUUAGCUGGGCAUGGUGGUGCGUGCCUGUAAUCCCAGCUACUUGGGAGGCUGAGGCAGGGGAAUCGCUUGAAUCCAGGAAGCGGAGGUUGCAGUGAGCCAAGUUCACAGAGCGAGACUCCGUGUCAAAAAGAAAAAAGAAAUGGGUUUGGUGUAGGUAAAGAAAGAAUUAUGGAAAUGGAGUCUAAACCUGAGGAAAUUUUAUAUGGAGCACCUAAAGAGAAAGUUGAGGAAUAUACAUAAGUGAAGUUGAAAUGAUAGCGUUUGAAAUGUAUAGCAUACUAUAUCCAAAAAUAGAAAAUAGAAGAAUGGGGGAUAAUUUUUAACCUUGGAGUAAUAACCUUUAAGAAAUUGGUGCAAAGAUAAUUAAUGACAUAAAUUAAUGUUAGUGUGAAUAACUCUAAACAAUUAUUGGCUGUGUCAAAUAUUUUUAAUAACUAAUUUCUGAGAUAAAAAAAUAUGAGGGACUGAAACACAGGGAAAUUAACAAAAUAUUUGUAAGGGGAAAUAGGAUUAAGCCAUUAUAAAGUCUUUGUACUGUUAAGCAUGAGGAUAAAAAUACUGAAAAAUUUUAAACUUGGUAACGUGUAGGUUAAGUAAAGCCUCUAAUUUCAAAAACAGUAGGAGUGUAGUAGAUUUCAAAAACUUGUAUUAAACAGAAAUAUUGAAGUAGCAGAGGCAAGACAAAAAGAAAGUCCAAAAUAUAGAAAAAAUAAACCCAACUGUAUGAAUAAUCAGAAUAAAUGCAAAUAGAUGAAACUCACAAGUUCAAGAUAGAGAAGCUGAAAUUCUAGAAGAAAUGUCUAGUGGAAUAUUUGUCAGAGACACAUUUAAACACACAUAAAUACUGAAAACUCAAAAAGUAAAAAUAAAAUAAAAUAAAAUAAGGUAUAUCAGACCAAAAUGGAAAGCAAGUAUAAUACUGCAUUCAUCAACAAUAUGGUCCACAUUUUUUCCUAAAGCUGGGCCAUGGCAAACCCUCCCAACACCCUAAUUUCCAAAGACUGAAAUAAGUGUAACUUAUCUGAAUGCAAUGUAAUUCAUCUAGGAAUCAAUUAAAAGAGAACUAGAAAACCCCAACUCCUUAGAACUUGAACCAUACAUUUCCAAAUAAUCUUUGAGUGAAAAAUACCAAAAAGAAAUUAAACCAAUACUUUGGUUAUUAGGAUAUAGCACAUCAAACUUGGUGGAAUGGAGCUAAAGUAGUGCUUGGAGGGAAAUUUAAGACUUGAGUACAUAUUUUAGAAAAGAAGAAAAGAAAAAUUU
rnacentral:lncRNA from 1 species